rnacentral:lncRNA from 1 species
AUUAGCAUGCCACCACUUAUUGACCGAACCCUUCUUAGAGCAAGAGUGCCACCAACCCCUAGAUUUCAUCAUCUCGAAUAUGACCCACCUCCUUCCUUAAACACCUCUACGUCACUUGGCCAUAAUAAUCAUAAACCCUCAAUCGUAUCUGUUUUCAAAAUCACACAAAAUCAACUCAAUACCCUAAAAGCCAAGUCAUGGGAACAUGGAAACAAAACCAAUUACAGCACAUUCACCAUUCUAGCUGCAUACAUAUGGCGUUGUGCAACUAAAGCUCGGGGCCUCUCAUAUGACCAACCAACCAAGUUAAACAUGCCAAUUAAUGGACGUCCCAGACUACAUCCUCCCCUCCCAUCAACGUACGUGGGCAAUGCAGUGUUUGCGGCUUCAUUAAUUGCUCUAUCUGGAAAUCUCCAAUCAGAAUCGUUUGUAAAUACCCUUGAACGAGUUUAUGGAACAUUGAAAAGGAUGAAUAAUGAGUAUCUAAGAUCAGCUCUUGACUACCUAGAAACACUGCCAGAUAUAACAGCUGUCAGGAGAAAACCAGACACUUACCAGUGCCCAAACCUAAAUAUCAACAAAUGGACACGACUGUCUAUAUAUGAUGCAGAUUUUGGAUGGGGUCGACCAAUAUACAUGGGUCCAGCAAACGUUGUCCAUGAAGGAAAAAUAUACAUACUAUCAAGUCCAACCGAUGAUGGGAGCUUGUCACUGGUAGCAUGCCUACAGACUGCUCAUAUGAAACUCUUCGAGAAACAUCUAUACGAAGGCUUAAAGUCAUUUGACAAGAUCAAAGCUCGAUAUUAGUUGUUUGUUCUCUCUAUCAAUAUAUGUAUAAGCCUAUAAAUCUUCUACUUCUGUUUCUUUAACUAAAACUUUGUUUGAAUCCUGUUCAUUUGAAAUUUAACAUCUAAGCUGCCCUGGCUGACGGGUUUUUUAUUGGUAAUUGUUAUACUCGGUAAUAGUGUAGUAGGAUUGACCACAAAGUAAUAGCAAAGAAAAAUAAAAAUAUAUAGAUUUUGCGUGAAAAACUCUUAUCGGGAAAAAAAUCAUAGAGGAGAAGAAUUUCACUAAUGUUAAAAAACAAUAAUGCAAGAGAUUUUUUUUACUACACAUUUUAAUGAUUAAACAACGUUUUCAUAAUCAACAUCUAAAAGAAGAUCGCCCCCACAUAUCCCCAAAUUUUGUGUUUCUAUUUUAUUUCUUUAACAAGUGAGUUACACAUCGAACUUUUCUGAUCGGAUCAAACAUAAUUCAGAUCAUAAAACUCUAACAAUAAUCCAAGCAGAGAAGGAGCAGGAGCUAUAAUACGGAAUGAUUAGAGGGCCUGGGUAUUCAUAAUUUUAACUUUAACCUUCUGUGGUUGAUAUAUUGACAAGCUAGAGUCUUGAGAAGAAAAACAACUUAUAACAAAUGAACCCAAAAAACGAUGUCAAUUCCAAACAGCAUCAUUUGCUAUUCUUUUUACUGUUCAGAGGUAAACAAUGGAGGAUGGAGAAAUUAGUGCUAUAUUAAUACAAAUUGAGCAAGAAGAAAACCAACACUCAUACAAGUAGACAUAAAUAUAUGAUUCAUAACAUUUUUAACACGAAAAAUAGAUAAGGAUUGUAUGAAACAGAGACGCCACAUCAUAUUAUAUCUUUUAUCAAUUAUUUAAUGUCAUUUCACUAUCUUUUUUUUCAGGUCAUUAACACAUAAUUUUGAUAAUUUUUAUAACUUAAACCUUAGACAUUGGACCAUGAACUCUAGACUCUAAAACCCUUUACUUUGAACAUUGAAUUUUGAACCCUCCCUGAACAUUAGACCCUAGACCCUAGACCUUAAAUCCUAACCUUUGUCCUAUACCCUGAACUUUGGAUCCUGUAUCUUGAACCCUAGGUUCAGGGUCCAGGGUUUGAAGUCCAAGAUGUAGGAUUCAAGAUCUAAAGUCCAGAGUCUAGAGUUUAGGGUCUAAGUUAAAAAAAAUUAUUAAUAUUUUGUGUCAAUGACAUAAAAAUGCUCAAAUAAAAUUAAAUAAUUUGUAAGUGAUACAUGAUGACGUGGCGUCUCUGUUUCAUACAAUCAUUUCUCAUUAUCAAAAUAUUAAAUUUUAGUUUAUUUUCGAUACUUUGUCUAACAUGAUUUUAGUCUAUAUACUUUAAUUUUGAGACACCGAGUCCUUAUAUUAUUUUGUUUAAAAAUCUUAAUCAUUCGUCUAAUUUUGAACUUAUAAAAAGAUAGAAUAGUUGAUAAUGCACUUAAUUGACAUAUUUUUUAUUAUUUUAUUUAAUUAAUUUUGGACAUGUAUUUUAUCUAAUUUAAGACUUAAUUGAUCAAUUUCUAUUUUGGUACAAUUGUUAUCCAAUGUGUCGAGAAAUGUGAGGAUACUUGAAUUGCAUAAAAGAUUUAACAUGAGAACUUGAAUUGAGGCGUGAAGGAAGGGGAGGCGCAUUAGUGCACACUAGAUCUGAUUAUAGGCAAGUUAUCCAUCCAGGCCUAAAGAUCCGAUUGGAAAGUAAGAGGGUUUAAAUAAAAAUAUAGACUCGAAAAAUAACUUUGAAAAAAAAAUGGCUUGUUUUCUCAAAAAAUCAACUUAGACAAAAAAAAGUAGAGAUUCGUUUAGAGUUUUUUGGCCCUGCCCGACCCGAUUACAUGCAUAAGGUAUCGAUACCUCGUAGUAAGUUUCGAUACCCUCCCCAAGGUAUCAAUACCUCGUAGCAAAGAAUCGAUACUAUAGACUUUAAUACGGACCAAGUCGAUUUGGGCCUGACUUUAACAUCUAUAACAUGAGUUGGGCUUGGAUAAAAAAUUAAGCCCAUUUUUGGGCCAGACUGAGCCCGAACCUAUCAACAAUUAAUUUAUUUUUGAAAAAACAAUAAAUAUAUAUAAUAUUCUUUAUUUAAAAAAAAUAAUUGAUGAUGUGACAUAUACAUGGACUGCCAUAUGGAUACCACAUCAGCAAAGUUAACAGACGCUAAUUUUUUUGUCGUCUAUUUUGAUAUGAUUUGACAAAUAAUAUAAGUUGAAGAGUUGGAAGAUAUAAAAUUUUAAAUGAGUAGCUAAAAUAAUUGUUUUUAUAAAAUUGGAGGACCAACUAAAUCCUUACACCUUCAUAUUAUGUAAGUAUUUACAUAAUUAUUAUAUGCAAAGGCUUCAUGACCCAUUGGGUUUUGAUAAUUAUUUAGUCAGAUUUCAAUUUAGAAUUUUUAAUCUUUUGUAUGAUUUGGUUUAGCUUAUUUUACUCUUUAAAAAUAAUAAAAUAUAUAAAAAUAAAUUUACAUUAAUAAUAAAAAAAUUAUUAUAACUAGUCAAGUUAAACUUGUGUUUGAGUUUAAUUUUUUUUAUAAUCGAAACUAUAGCAAGCCUAAUAAUGAAUUACUCAAAUUAUUUGUCCAUAAUCAUAUUAAAAUAAUAUCGGAUAAUUGAAAUAUAUUAAAAAAUUUAAAUUAAAUUAAGGGUCUGUUUGAUUGACGGAAUUGAUUUUUCGGAAAAUCAUUUCUAACUUUUCCAGCGUUUGAUUGGCGGAAAAUAUUUUCCAUUUGGAAAAUGAACUCCAAAACAAGGGAAAAUGGGUUACAUUUUAGGGAAAAUGUCUUACCCUUUCAAUUUCCGUAAGACAUUUUCCGUGCUCUCCUCUCUAUCGCCUCCUUCAUUCCUUCCUUCAUUUCCGGUAGAAAACUGCUUUUGUUUAUCGAUUUUCCAGUAACUUGUUUUUUUAAUUAUUCAAUACUUGUUUUUUAACACAAUUACAAAUAAUUUAUUUGAUAUUAGUUUUUUUCAAUUUAUAACGAUUAAUAUUGUAGCUUAAUAAUUGAGUAUUAUUAUAAAUAAAUCAUUGCAAUAUAUGUAAAAAUAAUUUAAAAUAUAAAAAUUUAUUAAUAUAUAUUAAUAUAUGUAAAAACAACUUUUCCGAAAAAUAUUUUCAAAAAAUCUGCCAAGCAGCAGAAAAUAUUUUACACAGAUUCAAUCAAACACCAGAAAAUAUUUUCCAGUAAAUCAUUUUACAGAAAAGUAAAAUAUUUUUCAGAAAUAAUUUUACGGAAAAUAUUUUACUGGCAAUCAAACAGACCCUAAGUUUGGAUCAAACUCACUUAUGGUAUAUGAUUUAGCUAAAGUGAAAUAAAAACUCGAAAAUACAAAAUUUAUGGGUAAAUUUCGGUUUAUGUCACUUAAUUAAAAAAAUUGUAAUUUGGUUAUUGAAUUAUCUAAAAGUUUUCUUUUAAGUCAUUGGGCUGUUAAAAUUGAUAUUAUUUGACUUUUUCUAUUUGCACUGUAUGCAUAGAGUGAAAGCUCUCUUUCUCCUUCACUAGUUCACUUCUAUGGUUCAUUUUUUAUUUUUAUUAAACAACUUUGGAUGUUAGGAAUCUGCAAACAAAAAUUCAAACUUUUUUUCUUUGAUUUCCAACAUUGAUUGUCAAAACAACUUAUACCUAACAUGUAUUUUUCUAUUCGUCGAUGGGUACCAAUCCACCGUAUCGAUUGUCGAAUCAUUACUUGAAGCUCGUUGGCAAAACUUAAAAAAACAACAACUUAAUAUCCUAGUGACUUAAAUGAAAACUUUAGAAUUUAGUGACCUAAUAAAAAACUUUCCCAUAAUUUAGUGACUAAUGGUGUAGUUUACACACUUCCUCUUGCCCCAAUUGAAGUUUUUGGUACUCCCAAACACUCGUAAAAAAGUUUUAAUACUAGAAUUGUAUGAAUAUUUUAAUAUAAAGUACCAGUUUACUCUUUGAUCUACAUAGUGAGACUAAUUUGCCAAUUUUUUAAAUAAAUGGGAUAAAAUACAAUUUAACUUUUAGUAUAAGGACCUCCAUUGUAUGUUUACCUUGAGAUUAUCAAUAAAAACUAAUAAAUAUAAAAUGAUACAGUUAAGAAUAUAUCAAAUAUCCACGAGGUGAUAAGUGUUUUCAAAAUUUAACAUGCACAACUUAAUGGGUUAGAGACAAGGCCGAGCAAAGCCAUUAGUGGAUGGGUAACAAAUUUGGUAAUAUUUUAACAAUUUAACUAUUAAAUUCAUCGAUAUAAUUGUACUUGACAUGCAUGUAAAUUUUCAAACCGAUCUGAUAUUUGUAUCAUAUUAAUCUAAAAUAUUGUAUAUAUUGAACUAUUAAGGUUUUUUUAUAUAAAAUAAAUAGUUAAAAUUUGUUAACGUAAAUCAAAUUUGAUAUGCAUAAUUUAUUUGAACAGAAUAUCAAAUAUGAUAGUUGAAUGAUUAGAAUAUUAAUCAUAUAAAAAAAUAAAAUGCAUAUUUUAAAUUUAAUUUAAAAUAUUUAAAAAACACUAAAAUAAAUUAAUAAAAUCUUCAAUAACUUUUGAAUUUAAAUCACAAUUAUCGAAAUUGGAUUAAGUUAAAUUGAAAAUGAAUUAAGGUAUCAAUUUGGAAUAAAAGAUGGAAUUAAUUAUCUCACAAAUUGAUUGAAUCCACAUACCGGAUAAUUUUUUUCAAUUUUUAAAUAUUUUAAUAAUUUAUUUAAUUCAUCCAUUCAGACCAAUUUUUAAAUACUUUAUUACAUUACUUUGUAAUGUCAAAGUCACGUGAUUUUUUUAGACUUGAUUUUUUCUGCCAAUUACUUCCGCACGUGCCAUUUCUUUUAUCAUCUUUCAAUGACGUGUACGGUAUAGAUAGCUUGCCUUCAAUUUCUUUAUUUGCCAAAUUCUGUUAUUAGUCCCUAUACUAUAAGUAGUUUGCGAAUUUAGUCUCUAUAUUUUAAAAAAAAGUCAAUUUUAAUCCUUAUACAUUUUAGCAUUUAAAAUUUUCAUCAUCCACAAAGAGUAGAAAUUAAAUAUGCUUGGUUAAUUUAUGUCACUAAUCUUGUACAGAGCAUAAAGUUAUUCCACAUUCUCCAAUUUGAUCAUUCAUAAUUCUUAUAUUUUUUGAAUUUUUAAAUUUUAACAAGCUGACAUAACAUUACGUGUAUGACGAUAUGUUUGACGUAUAAAAUUUUGAAAAUAGUAGAACUUAAUGAAUUUAAUGGUUAUUUUUUAAAUCAAGAUUGAAAUUUCAAAAUUAAAAAAAUAUAGGGACUAGAUCAAAUUAAUUAAAGUACAUAGACCAAAUUUACAACUUGCAAAUUACACAAGAAUUAAUAGCAGGAUUUAACCUAUUUUUACAUUUAAAUAUGUAAAAAUACCAUCCAUCCACCGCCUCCCAAUGGAGAAGAUAGGCUUUUUUUUUUUUAAGUAAUUCAAUUUUUUAUUAAUUACGAUAAUGACCAAUUUAAAAAUUAUGUACGUAAAUGAUCUGAUUUCUAUAGUGUAUGCCGGUGCCAUCAAACACACUGAUGGCACCGGCCCCAUCAUCGGCCAACGGUUGUAUUUUUUAAAACAUUUUCAAUUCAUUCCCCAGCAUAAUUAAAUUUAGAUAUACUCGAGAAAAUAUUUUGAAGGAUAUAUUUGGGUAAUUUAAAUAAUAAUUUUAUAUAAUCUUUUAAGUUUAUUGUUUUUAAAAAAUUAAAAAAAAUUAAAAGAGUUUAUUUUUGUUAUUCCUAUAACUUUAAGGGAUAUUUAAAUUUAAUUUUAAAAGGAGAUAGACUUGAAAUAGACAAAAAAUUGAAAAAUAUAAAAUUUGUUGCCUACCGGCUGCACCCUUUUUCAACUAAAAAAUUAUUAUUAUAUUUUUAAAAUGCAAUUAUUGGCCAAUGAUUGUGUGGCGUCAACGACAAUCAUUGUAGAAGUUGAAUUAUUUUCGUAAUUAUUCACAAAACUUGGGUUACUUUUGUAAAAAAACCCGAGUAGCCGGACACUUUCUGACUUUCCCUUCUGUCAGUUUUUCAUCAACAGGUUUGCCUCUUACCAGAACAUCAAUGGAUGUUAGUGUAAAGAGAUGGAGCAUGAUACGCCCUGCUCAAGAUACUCCUAAAGAAAGGCAAUGGAUAUUUCAAAUCUGGACGUGGUGAUGACAACAUACCAUCUCCCUUUGCUGUUUUUCUACAAACCAAAUGGCUCCUCUGACUUCUUCAAGCCUCAAGUCCUACAGGAGGCUUUAAGCAAGACUCUUGUGCAAUUCUAUCCUAUGGCUGGGAGGUUGGGACGUGAUGAAAAUGGUAGACUGGAGAUAUUAUGCAACGCAGAGGGUGUUCUGUGGAUAGAAGCUGAAACUACAUCGGCCAUGGAUGAUCUCGACGGUUUUACUCCCUGCUCAAAACUGAGGAAACUGGUUCCCACGGCUGAUUACUCUGGAGAUAUCAGUUCUUAUCCGCUUAUUAUGGCUCAGGUAAGUGAAUGAAGAACUGUUAUCUUAUUAUAGAUGAUAACUGUUACUUGCAGUAGGAGACCAAGGAUAAGCUCUGAGAAAACUCAAACAGCCUGAUACUGAAGUUAAAGCAAAAGAAAAACUAAGCUAUCAGCUAAGAAGUCAAUAUAUGGCUUUUUUUUCUCAAAAUUGACAUUAAUUAUGAAAAUGAACCAGGUAUAAAAUCUUACACGAGAGGUAAAAGUAUUACCAUCAACAAAGUAUAGAUACUUUACGUUCAUCUUCACAAGAAAGUGCUAAGGUCCAUGGUGGUGGCUUAGUAGUGAAGAAGAUGAAACCGGAACCUUUUGCUGUUUAGUGAACCUCUCAUAUUUAAUAAACAUUUUAGCUCGUCAGAUACAACGAUAUUUUAAAUGAAAACAACUGUAAUAAUCCUCACUGAAGAAAAGCUAAGAACAAGAUUAAUCAAAGCUAAGAAUAAGAUUACAAGAUUAUUACAAAUGAGUCGAACGAGAGGUUCAUUGAAGAGAAAAAGGUUUUGGUUUCAUCUUCUUCACUGCUAAGCCACCACCACGGAACUCUUAGCACUUUCUUGUGAAGCCGAAUCGAAAGUAUUAAUACUUUAUUGCUGUUAUUACUAUCAAUAAAGUAUUGAUACUUUUUACAAAACUAACACCGGUGCUACCAAUGAGUCUAUAGUGGCAUCUAGUUUUUAUUAUUAUUUUAGAACAUGGGAUGGUGCCGCCAAUAAGAAUGGUGACACUAACUUUUACCGUAAAAAACGGAUCAUUUUUGUGAAAGAUUUUGCACUUGAAUCAUUUUUAUAAUUAAUCAAACUUUUUUGUCAAUUUUGCAAAAAAAAAAAAACCUUAAAAUUUUUGCUUCAAAAACGUUAAUUGUUGUGUGUAUAUUUUGCUAGGUAACUCUACUCUUAAAUGCGGUGGAGUUUGUCUUGGAAUAGCAACUCAUCAUACUUUGACUGAUGGCACAACGGCCUUUCAUUUCAUCAGUAGUUGGUCUGAAAUAGCAAGAGGCUUGCCCCAAAUUAGCAUGCCACCACUUAUUGACCGAACCCUUCUCCGAGCAAGAGUGCCACCAAUCCCUAGAUUUCAUCAUCUCGAAUAUGGCCCACCUCCUUCCUUAAACACCUCUACGUCACUUGGCCCUAAUACCCAUAAGCCCUCAAUUGUAUCUGUUUUCAAGAUCACACAAAAUCAACUUAAUACCCUAAAAGCCAAGUCAUGGGAACAUGGUAACAAAACCAAUUACAACACCUACAUCAUUCUAGCUGCAUACAUAUGGCGCUGUGCAACUAAAGCUCGGGGCCUCUCAUAUGACCAACCAACCAAGUUAAACAUGCCAAUUAAUGGACGUCCCAGACUACAUCCUCCAGUCCCAUCAACGUACGUGGGCAAUGAAAUGUUUGCGGCUUCAUUAAUUACUCUAUCUGGAAAUCUCCAAUCAGAACCGUUUGUAAAUACCCUAGAACGAGUUCAUGGAACAUUGAAAGGGAUGAAUAAUGAGUAUCUAAGAUCAGCUCUUGACUACCUAGAAACACUGCCAGAUAUAACAGUUGCCAGGAGAAAACCAGACACUUACUAGUGCCCAAACCUAAGUAUCAUCAAAUGGACACGACUGUCUAUAUAUGAUGCAGAUUUUGGAUGGGGUCGACCAAUAUACACGGGUCCAACAAACGUUGUCCAUGAAGGAAAAAUAUACAUACUACCAAGUCCAACCGAUGAUGGGAGCUUGUCACUGGUAGCAUGACUGCAGACAUCUCAUAUGAAACUCUUCGAGAAACAUCUAUACGAAGGCUUGAAGUCAUUUGACAAGAUCAAAGCUCGAUAUUAGUUGUUUGUUCUGUCUAUCAAUAUAUGUAUAAACCUAUAAAUCUUCUACUUAUGUUUCUUUAACUAAAACUUUGUUUGAAUCCUGUUCAUUUGAAAUUUAACAUCUAAGCUGCCCUGGCUAACAGUUUUUUUUAUUGUUAAUUAUUAUACUAUACUUCGAUAAUAGUAGUAGCAUUGAUUGAUCGCAAAGAAAUGAUAAAGAAAAAUAAGAAUAUAUAGAUGGAAAAGUCUUAUUAGGAAAAAAAAAUCAUGGGCAGAGGAGAAGUUAACUAAUGUUGAAAAACAAUAAUGCAAGAGGUCUUUUUUACUACACACAUUUUAACGGUUAAAUAACAUUUUUAUAAUCAACGUCUAAUAGAAGAUCGCCCCCACAUAUCCCCCAAAUUUGCAAUUCUAUUUUAUUUCUUUAACAAAUAAGUUGCACAUCGAAUUUUUUUGCCUGGAUCAAAAGGGAUUCAGAUCAAACAACUCUGACAACACCUCAAAUUAUUUGUCCAUAACCAUAUUAAAACAAAUACCGAAUAAUUGAAAUAUAUUCAAAAUUUUAAAUUAAAUUAAGUUUGGAUCAAACUCACUGAUGAUAUAUGAUUUACCUAAAGUGAAAUAAGAACUCGAAAAUACAAAAUUUAUGGGUAAAUUUUUGUUUUGGUCACUUAAUUAAAAAAUUAUAAUUUGGUUAUUGAACUAUUCAAAAGUUUUCUUUUAAGUCGUUGAAUUGUUAAAAUUGAUGUUAUAUGACUUUAUCUGUUUGCAGUGCAUGCAUCAAUUGAAAGUUCUCUUUUUCCUUCACUUCCAGAGUUCAUUUUCUAUUUUUAUAUAACAACUUUAGACGUUACAAAUCUGCAAACCAAAAUUCAAAUAUUUUUUGCUUUGAUUUCCAACAUUGACUAUCAAAUCAAUUUAGAUCUAAGGUAUGUUUUUCUACGCAUUAAUGGGUACCGAUCCAUCGUAUCGGUCGUUGAAUCCUUACUUGGAGCUCGUUAGUGGAACUUAAAAAACAACUUAAUAGCCUAGUGACUUAAAUGAAAAUUUUACCAAACCAAAAAAAGGGGAGAAUGUGAUAUCACUGCGAAUUUUAUUUAUUUUUUUAUUUAGCCCUAAUAAAGUGACGCGUUUCAAAGGAUGAAGAUAUUUUCCCAUUCGAGCUCUAUGAGUUAUUCGCGCCUUUUAAUUGGGCCAUUCAUUUUUUUUCUUUAAUUCUGUUGAUUCUCAAUUUAAUCCCUAAUCUUUUAUUUUAGGUUUUUAGUCUAUUUUAUUAAUUUUGUUAUUAUUAUUAUUAUUAUUAUAUUAUAUAUAUUAUUAUUAUUAUACCUACAUAUAUGUGCGCAUAUGCAUGUUAAUAUAUAUACAUAUAUAUUUUAAACGUUUUAAUAUAUAUACAUAUUAUAUACAUACUUUAUUAUUAUUUUAUUUUCAUAGUUUUUUAUACAUAUAUAUACACAUUUAUAUUUCAUAAUAUUUAUACCUUCGCCCAUAUUCUAUGAUUUUUAUAUGUUUAUACAUUUUUGUAAUAUGUACACAUAUAUUUAUACUCCAUUCAAAGCUUAUUAUAAAUAAUUUCUACGUUUUUAUAUUAUACUUAUAUAUUUCAUUUUUUCUGUAAAUGCAUGUAUAUAUUUUGUACCUUUUCAUUAUAUUUUUUGUUUAUUUCCUUCAUUUGCUUAUUGAUCCAUGUUUUCUUUUUGUAUUUGGUACGUUUGAUAUUUUACAUGAUUGUUUUUAUGUACAUUAAUUUCAUCUAUUUCUAUGCCAUAGUUGUAUUUAUUAUUGCAUUGUAUAUUUAAUGUAGCAUCACAUCAUUUUUUUACUCGAUUUCAAACUUUUCAAAAUUGAGAUAAUGCUUGUAUUUAGGAUUUUCAAGGAAAUUGAGCCCUAACGUAUUGGGUUCCGAUUUUCUUCGUUAAAUCUAACAAUCGAGCAUUUCUCUUUAAUCAAAAAAUAAGAACUCAUUAUUGGGAAUUCAACACGUUGUGUCCUAACGUAUUGGAUGUGACGCAUUGAUUUCUCGAAAUGAAGAUUUUUUCUAAAAAAUAAUAAAGGAAAUAUUCCGAGUUUGGGAUUUUGGAGGAAUUGUGCCCUAACGUAUUGGGCUGCGAUUUCUUAAAUCUUGAAUAAAUGGAUAUUCUUUUAAAUUUUUAUUACAUGAGUAUUCUGACCUAAUUCAUUUUUGAAGAAAUUAGAAUGUCGUGCCCUAACGCAUUGGGUAUGGCAUUUUCUUUCUCUGAAAUGAUGAGGGUCUUAAUACGUAACGUUUUUAAGUUUUUGCUAAGGAUUAUAUUUUUUCAAAUUUUCGACAUUAAGACAUUAAUUAAUUAACUAGGAACCAAUUUUUGAGCGUUAUGAGGGUGCUAAUCCUUCCUCAUACGUAACCGACUCCCGGACCCAUUUUUCUAAAAUUCGUAGACCAAAGUCGUUUUUAGGUGACCCAAUCACACCUUAAUAAAAGAUUGGUGGCGACUCUCAAUUUUCAUUUUUUAAAGUCGACAACCUAAAAUUUUUUGUUUUCAAAAAAUGGUUUCGACAAUUAAGUUUGGGUCAAACUCGCUGAUGAUAUAUGAUUUACCUAAAGUGAAAUAAGAGCUCGAAAAUACAAAAUUUAUAAGUAAAUUUUCGUUUUGGUCACUUAAUUAAGAAAUUAUUAUUAUAUUUUUAAAAAGGUUAAUUGCUUCACGUUUUAUAUAACACCACUAAAAAAUUAUUAUUAUAUUUUUAAAAUGCAAUUAUUGGCCUAUGAUGGUGUGGCGUCAACGACAAUCACUGUAGAAGUUGAAUUAUUUUCGUAAUUAUUCACAAAACUUGGGUUACUUUUAUUAAAAAAAACCCUAGAAGAGAACCUCGCCUUUGCUUAAGAUAGCCGGACACUUUCUGACUUUCCCUUCUGUCAGUUUUUCAUCAACAGGUUUGCCUCUGACCAGAACAUCAAUGGAUGUUAGUGUAAAGAGAUGGAGCAUGAUACGCCCUGCUCAAGAUACUCCUAAAGAAAGGCAAUGGAUUUCAAAUCUGGACGUGGUGAUGACAACAUACCAUCUCCCUUUGCUGUUUUUCUACAAACCAAAUGGCUCCUCUGAUUUCUUUAAGCCUCAAGUGCUACAGGAGGCUUUAAGCAAGACUCUUGUGCAAUUCUAUCCUAUGGCUGGGAGGUUGGGGCGUGAUGAAAAUGGUAGGCUCGAGAUAUUAUGCAACGCAGAGGGUGUUCUGUGGAUAGAAGCUGAAACUACAUAGGCCAUGGAUGAUCUCGACGGCUUUACUCCCUGCUCAAAACUGAGGAAACUGGUUCCCACGGCUGAUUACUCUGGAGAUAUCAGUUCUUAUCCGCUUAUUAUGGCUCAGGUAAGUGAUUGAAGAACUGUUAUCUUAUUAUAGAUGAUAGCUGUUACUUGCAGUAGGAGACCAAGGAUAAGCUCCGAGAAAACUCAAACAGCCUGAUACUGAAGUUAAAGCACAAGAAAAACUAAGCUAUCAGCUAAGAAGUUAAUAUAUGGCUUUUUUUUUCAAAAUUGACAUUAAUUAUGAAAAUGAACCAGGUAUAAAAUCUUACACUAGAGGUGCCGCUAGACUCAUUGGCGACACCGGUAAUUUUGUAAAAAGUAUUACCAUCGACAAAGUAUAGAUACUUUACGUUCAUCUUCACAAGAAAGUGCUAUAAGGUCCAUGGUGGUGGCUUAGUGUUGAAGAAGAUGAAACCGGAACCUUUUGCUGUUUAGUGAACCUCUCAUAUUUAAUAAACAUUUUAGCUCGUCAGAUACAACGAUAUUUUAAAUGAAAACAACUGUAAUAAUCCUCACUGAAGAAAAGCUAAGAACAAGAUUAAUCAAAGCUAAGAAUAAGAUUACAAGAUUAUUACAAAUGAGUCGAACGAGAGGUUCAUUGAAGAGAAAAAGGUUUUGGUUUCAUCUUCUUCACUGCUAAGCCAACACCACGGAACUCUUAGCACUUUCUUGUGAAGCCGAACCGAAAGUAUUAAUACUUUAUUGAUGUUAUUACAAUCAAUAAAGUAAUGAUACUUUUUACAAAACUAACACCGGUGCUACCAAUGAGUCUGGUGGCAUCUAAUUUUUUUAGAACAUGGGAAUAAGAAUGGUGACACUAAAUUUUACCGUAAAAAACGGAUCAUUCUUGUGAAAGAUUUUGCAUAACCAUAUUAAAACAACUCUUACUGGAUCAAAAGGGAUUCAGAUCAAAUAACUCUGACAACAUCUCAAAUUAUUUGUCCAUAACCAUAUUAAAACAAUUACAGAAUAAUUGAAAUAUAUUCAAAAUUUUAAAUUAAAUUAAGUUUGGAUCAAACUCACUGAUGAUAUAUGAUUUACCUAAAGUGAAACAAGAAAUCAAAAAUACAAAAUUUAUGGGUAAAUUUUUGUUUUGGUCACUUAAUUAAAAAAUUAUAAUUUGGUUAUUGAACUAUUCAAAAGUUUUCUUUUAAGUCAUUGGAUUGUUAAAAUUGAUGUUAUAUGACUUUCUCUGUUCACAGUGCAUGCAUCAAUUGAAAGCUCUCUUUUUCCUUCACUUUCACAGUUCAUUUUCUAUUUUUAUAUAACAACUUUAGACGUCACAAAUCUGCAAACCAAAAUUCAAAUAUUUUUUGCUCUGAUUUCCAACAUUGACUAUCAAAUCAAUUUAGAUCUAAGGUAUGUUUUUCUACGCAUUAAUGUAUACCGAUCCAUUGUAUCGAUCGUUGAAUCCUUACUUGGAGCUCGUUAGUGGAACUUAAAAAACAACUUAAUAGCCUAGUGACUUAAAUGAAAAUUUUACCAAACCAAAAAAUUUCCCAUAAUUUAAUGACUAAUGGUGUAGUUUACGCACUUCCUCUUGGCCCAAUUGAAGUUUUUGGUACUCCCAAUUCCCAAACACCAGUAAAAAAGUUUUAAUAGUAGAAAUAUAUGAAAUUUUUAAUAGAAAGUACCAUUUUACUUUUUGAUCUAUAUAGAAAGACUAAUUUGUCAAUUUUUUAAAUUAAUGGGGCAAAAUACAAUUUGACUUUUAAUAUAAAAAUUUCCAUGGUACUUUUACCUUGAAACUAUCAAUAAAAACUAAUAAGUAUAAAAUGAAACAAUUAAGAAUAUAUCAGAUAUCCACGAGGUGAUAAGUGCUUUUAAAAAUAGUAGUACUUAAUGAAUUUAAUGGUUAUUGUUUAAAUCAAGAUUGGAAUUUCAAAAUUAGAAAAACAUAUGAACUAAAAUGAUCAAAUUAAUUAAAGUACAUAAACCAAAUUUUCAACUUGCAAAUUGCACAAGUAUUAAUAGCAGGAUUUAACCUAUUUUUACAUUUAAAUAUGUAAAAAUAUCACCCUUUCACACCCUCCCAACGGAGAAGAUUAGCUUUUUUUUUAAGUAAUUCAACUUUUUUAUUAAUUAUGAUAAUGACCAACUUAAAAAUUAUGUACGUAAAUGAUCUGAUUUCUAUAGUGUAUGUCGGUGCUGUCACAUACGCUGGUGGCACCGACCCCAUCAUCGGCCAAUGAUUGUAUUUUUUAAAACAUUUUCAAUUCAUUCCCUAGCAUAUUUAAAUUUAGAUAAACUUGAGAAAAUUUUUUGAAGGAUAUAUUUGGGUAAUUUAAAUAAGAAUUUUAUAUAAUCUUUUAAGUUUAUUGUUUUUAAAAAAAUAAAAAAAAUUAAAAGAGUUUAUUUUUCUUAUUCUUAUAAUUUUAAGGGCUAUUUAAAUUUAAUUCUAAAAGGAGAUAGACUUAACAUGCAAAUAAUUCAAAAAUUGAAAAUAUAAAAUUUGGUGCCUACCUGCUACACCCUUUUUAUUGGCCUAUGAUGUGUGACGUCACGAUCAAACACUGUAGAAGUUGAAUUAUUUUCGUAAUUAUUCACAAAAUUUGGCUUACUUUUGUAAAAAAACCCGAGAAGAGAACCUCGCCUUUGCUUAAGAUAGACGGACACGUUCUGACUUUCCCCUCUGUCAGUUUUUCAUCAACAGGUUUGCCUCUUACCAGAACAUCAAUGGAUGUUAGUGUAAAGAGAUGGAGCAUGAUACGCCCUGCUCAAGAUACUCCUAAAGAAAGGCAAUGGAUUUCAAAUCUGGACGUGGUGAUGACAACAUACCAUCUCCCUUUGCUGUUCUUCUACAAACCAAAUGGCUCCUCUGACUUCUUCAAGCCUCAAGUCCUACAGGAGGCUUUAAGCAAGACUCUUGUGCAAUUCUAUCCUAUGGCUGGGAGGUUGGGACGAGAUGAAAAUGGUAGGCUCGAGAUAGUAUGCAACGCAGAGGGUGUUCUGUGGAUAGAAGCUGAAACUACAUCGGCCAUGGAUGAUCUCGACGGUUUUACUCCCUGCUCAAAACUGAGGAAACUGGUUCCCACGGCUGAUUACUCUGGAGAUAUCAGUUCUUAUCCGCUUAUUAUGGCUCAGGUAAGUGAAUGAAGAACUAUUAUCUUAUUAUAGAUGAUAACUGUUACUUGCAGUAGGAGACCAAGGAUAAGUUCUGAGAAAACUCAAACAGCCUGAUGCUGAAGUUAAAGCACAAGAAAAUCUAUCAGCUAAGAAGUUGAUAUAUAUACGAGAAUGACCCGUUUUCUACCGUAAAAGUCAGUGCCGCUAGACUAAUUAGCGACACCGAUAUUUUUGCAAAAGUAUUACCAUCAACAAAGUAUCGAUACGAGAAAGUGCUAAUUACGGAGGUCCAUGGUGUGGUGGCAUAGUAGUGAAGAAGAUGAAACCAAAAACCUUUUCUCUUCAAUAAUGAACCUCUGGUUUAACUCAUUUGUAAUAAUCAUUUUCGCUCGUCGGAUACGACCGCAUUUUAAAUGGAAAACUGUAAUAAUUCUCACCGAAGAAAAGCAAAGAACAAGAUUAAUCAAAGCCAAUAAUAUUAUUACAAAUGAGUUAGGCGAGAGGUUCAUUGAAGAGAAAAGGGUUUCGAUUUCAUCUUCUUCACUGCUAAGCCACCGCCAUGCAACUCUUUGACCUUUCUCAUGAAGCUAAACGAUACCAUCAACAUCGGUGCCAACAUUGAGUCCGGCCACAUUCAAAAAAUAUAUAUUUUUAAAAAACAUGGGGUGGUGCUUCAAUGGGAAUGGUGGCACCAAAUUUUAUGAUAGAAAAUGGGCCAUUCUCCUACAAGAUUUUACACUUGAGUUAUUUUUAUAAUUAAUCAAUUUUUCUUGUCAAUUUUGAAAAAAAAAACCUUAAAUAUUUUUGUUUCAAAAAGGUCAACUGUUGAGUGUAUAUUUUGCUAGGUAACUACUCUUAAAUGCGGUGGAGUUUGUCUUGGAAUAGCAACUCAUCAUACUUUGACUGAUGGCACAACGGCCUUACAUUUCAUUAAUAGUUGGUCUGAAAUGGCAAGAGGCUUGCCCGAGAUUAGCAUGCCACCACUUAUUGACCGAACCCUUCUCCGAGCAAGAGUGCCACCAAUCCCUAGAUUUCAUCAUCUCGAAUAUGACCGACCUCCUUCCUUAUACACCUCUACAUCACUUGGCCCUAAUAACCAUAAACCCUUAACUGUAUCUGUUUUCAAGAUCACACAAAAUCAACUUAAUACCCUAAAAGCCAAGUCAUGGGAACAUGGAAACAAAACCAAUUGCAGCACCUUCACCAUUCUAGCUGCAUACAUAUGGCGCUGUGCAACUAAAGCUUGGGGCCUCUCAUAUGAUCAACCAACCAAGUUACACAUGCCAACUAAUGGACGCCCCAGACUACAUCCUCCCCUCCCAUCAACGUACUUGGGCAACGCAAUGUUUGCAGCUUCAUUAAUUGCUCUAUCUGGAAAUCUCCAAUCAAAACCAUUUGUAAAUACCCUAGAACGAGUUCAUGGAACAUUGCAAAGGAUGAAUAAUGAGUAUCUAAGAUCAGCUCUUGACUACCUAGAAACACUGCCAGAUAUAACAGUUGCCAGGAGAACACCGGACACUUACCAUUGCCCAAACCUAAGUAUCAACAAAUGGACACGACUGUCUUUAUAUGAUGCAGAUUUUGGAUGGGGUCGACCAAUAUACAUGGGUCCAGCAAACGUUGUCCAUGAAGGAAAAAUAUAUAUACUACCAAGUCCAACCGAUGAUGGGAGCUUGUCAUUGGUAGCAUGCCUACAGACUGCUCAUAUGAAACUCUUCGAGAAACAUCUAUACGAAGGCUUGAAGUCAUUUGACAAGAUCAAAGCUCAAUAUUAGUUGUUUGUUCUCUCUAUCAAUAUAUGUAUAAACCUAUAAAUCUUCUACUUAUGUUUCUUUAACUAAGACUUUUUGUUUGGAUCCUGUUUAUUUGAAAUUUACCAUCUAAGCUGGCCUGGCAAACAGGUCUUUUAUUGGUAAUUAUUGUACUAUACCUCGAUAAUAGUAAUAGCAUUGAUCGCAAAGAAAUAAUAAAGUAAAAUAAGAAUACACAGAUUUUACGUGGAAAAGUCUUAUUAGAAAAAAAAUCACGGGCAAAGUAAAAAUUUACUAAUGUUGAAAAGCAACAAUACAAGAAGUUUUUUUUACUACACACGUUUUAACGGUUAAAUAACAUUUUUAUAAUCAAUGUCUAAUAGAAGAUCGCUCCCACAUAUCCCCCAAAUUUGCAAUUCUAUUUUAUUUCUUUAACAAACAAGUUGCACCUCGAAUUUUUCUUGACUGGAUCAAACGGGGUUCAAAUCAAACAGCUCUGACAACACCUCAAAUUAUUUGUCCAUAACCAAUUAAAACAAAUACCGAAUAAUUGAAAUAUAUUCAAAAUUUUAAAUUAAAUUAAGUUUGGAUCAAACUCACUGAUGAUAUAUGAUUUACCUAAAGUGAAAUAAGAACUCGAAAAUACAAAAUUUAUGGGUAAAUUUUCUUUUUGGUCACUUAAUUAAAAAAUUAUAAUUUGGUUAUUAAACUAUUCAAAAGUUUUAUUUUAAGUCAUUGGAUUGUUAAAAUUUAUAUUAUACAACUUUCUCUAUUCGCAGUGCAUGCAUCAAUUGAAAGCUCUCUUUUUCCUUCAUUUUUACAGUUCAUUUUCUAUUUUUAUGUAACAACUUUGGACGUCAUAAAUCUGUAGACCAAAAUUUAAACAUUUUUUGCUCUGAUUUCCAACAUCGACCAUCAAAUCAAUUUAGAUCUAAAGUAUAUUUUUCUACUCAUUAAUGGAAUAAUGGGUAUCGAUCCAUCGUAUCGAUUGUUGAACCCUUACUUGGAGCUCGUUAGUGGAACUUAAAAAACAACUUAAUAGCCUAGUGACUUAAAUGAAAAUUUUCAAAUUUAGUGACCAAACCAAAAACUUUCCCAUAAUUUAAUGACUAAUGGUGUAGUUUACGCACUUCCUCUUGGCCCAAUUGAAGUUUUUGGUACUCCCAAACACUAGUAAAAAAGUUUUAAUAGUAGAAUGUAUGAAAUUUUUAAUAGAAAGUAACAUUUUACUUUUUGAUCUAUAUACAGAGACUAAUGUGCCAAUUUUUUAAAAUAAAUAUGACAAAAUGCAAUUUGACUUUUAAUAUAAAAAUCUCCAUGGUGCGUUUACCUUGAAAUUAUCAAUAAAAACUAAUAAAUAUAAAAUGAAACAGUUAAGAAUAUAUCAAAUAUUCACGAGGUGAUAGGCGCUUUUAAAAUUUAACAUUUACAACUUAAUGGGCUAGUGACAAGGCCAAGCAAACCAUUAGUGGAUUGGUAACAAAUUUGGUAAUAUUUUAACGAUCCAAUUGUUAAAUAUAUCGAUAUAACUGUAUUUGGUAUGAAUGUAAAAUUUCGAACCGAUCCGAUAUUUCUGACAUAUUGAUCUAAAAUAUUGCAUAUAUUAAACUAUUAAAUUUUUUUAUAUAAAAUAAAUAGUUAGUUUUUUUUUUAAUUUACAUCAAAUUUGACAUGCACAAUCUAUUUGAAUAGAAUAUGAAAUAUGAUAAUUGAAUCAUUAAAAUAUUAAUUGUAUAAAAAAUAAAAUACAUAUUUUAAAUUUAAUAUAAAAAUGUUUAAAAAACACUAAAAUAAAUUAAUAAAAUUCUCAAUGACUUUUGGGUUUAAAUCAAAAUUAUCGAAACUGGAUUAGAUCAAAUCGAAAAUUAAUUAAGGUAUGAGUUUGGAAUAAGAGGAUUAAUUAUCUCACAAAUUGGUUAAAUCGACAAAUCAGAUCAAUUUUUUUUCAAUUUUUAAUUUUUUAAUAAUUUAUUUAAUUAAAUUAAUAAAAUCAAUCAAAUCAGAAUUAGAAUCUAAUUCUAAACACUUUGUUUUGUUAUGUCAAAGCCACAUGUUUUUUUACACCUUAUUUAUUCUGCAAAUUACUGUCCGCACGUGUCAACUCUUUAUCAUCUUUUAAUGACGUGUACGGUAUAGAUAGCCUGUCUUCAAUUUUUUUAUUUGCCAAAUUCUGUUAUUAGUCCCUGUAUUAUAAGUAGUUUGCGAAUUUAAUCUCUAUAUUAAAAAAAUAGUCAAUUUUAGUUCUUAUACUUUUUAGCAUCUAAAAUUUUAAUCAUCCACAAGGAGUAGUAAUUAAAUAUGUUUGUUAAUUUAGGUCCUUAAUCUUUUACACAGUAUAAAGUUAUUCUACGUUCUCUAAUUUGAUCAUUCAUAAUCCUUAUAUUUUUUGAAUUUUUAAAUUUUAAUAAGCUGACAUAAUAUUACAUAUAUGAUAAUAUUUUUGACACAUAAGAUUUUGAACAUAAUAAAACAUAAUGAAUUUAAUGGUUAUCGUUUAGAUCAGGAUUGAAAUUUUAAAAUUAGAAAAAUAUAUGGACUAAAAUGAUUAAAUUAAAGUACAUACACUAAAUUUACAACUUUCCCAUUGCACAAGUACUAAUAGCAGGAUUUACCCUAUUUUUACAUUUAAAUAUGUAAAAAUAUCACCCAUCCACUGCCUCCCAACAGAGAAGAUAGGCUUUUUUUUUUUUGCAAUAAAAGAAUUAAUAAUUACUUGAUAAAUUAUUUUAUGGACAUUUUUUGUCAUAUCAUCCAUGAUCCCGUCCAAUUAGAAGAGAACGCGUCAUCUUUUUUUCCACAUCAUAUAUACAUUUAGACUAAACUUCCAAAUAAAAGAUGACGUGUCGUGUUUUAAUUGGGAGGAACUAUGGAUGAUGGGGUGAAAAAUGUCCAUAAAAUAAUUUCUCAUUAUUACCUUAUCUUCGAACACAAAAACACAAGCAUUAGCAAACAGAUUUCGCCCAUCUGCUACCUCCCAAUCGAGAAGAUAGGUUUUUUUUCUGAGUAACUCAAUUUUUUUGAUUAAUUAUGAACAUAAUUAACUUAAAAAUUAUGUCCGUAAAUGAUUUGAUUUUUACAGUGCUUGUCGAUGUUGCCAGACACACCGACGGCACCAGGCCCAUCAUCGACCAAUAAUUAUAUUAUUUUAAACAUUUUCAAUUCAUUCCUUAGCAUAUUUAAAUUUAUAUAAAUUGAGAUAAUUUUUUGAAGGAUAUAUUUGGGUAAUUUAAAUAAGACUUUUAACUUUAUUGUUUCUAAAAAAAUAAAAAAUUAUUUUUAUUAUUCUUAUAUUUUUAAGGACUAUUUAAAUAUAAUUUUAAAAAUAGAUAUACUUAACACGCAAAUAAAUAAAAAAUUAAAAAGCAUCAAAUUUGGUGCCGACAUGGUGCACCCUUUUUCUGCAAACUAAAAAGUUAUUAUUUUCUAGGUAAGGAAUAGUCUGUUUUAUUUACCUCAUAUUAUAUUUUAGUUAUUUAUAUUUAAAAUGUUAUUUUUAAGUGGUCACUCCACUGUUAAAUUUCGUUACCUCUCUAACGGUAAUUUUAUGUGACAGUUAGACCUGUCCAUGGGCCGGGCGGCUCAGCCUGGCCCGAAGGCCUGCCCGAAAUAUGGGAGGGUUCGGGUAAAAAUAUAGGCCCGAAAUAUGGGCUUGGGCAAAAAAAUGAGGCCCGUUUAAAAAAUGGGCCGGGCUUGGGCUCAACUUUUUUGGCCCGGGCCCGGCCCGGCCCGAAUAUAAUAAAUAUAUUUUUUAUUUUUAUUUUUUAAUUUUAAAAUACGUUAAAAAUAUUUUUUUUAUUUUUAUUUUUUUAUUUUUAAAAUAUUUUUUUGUGUUUAUUAAAAAUCGGGCCGGGCCCGGGCUUAUUAUUUUUUUCUCGGGCCGGGCCUGAGAAAAAUUUUAGGCCCAUAUUUCGGGCAGGGCCUAAGAGUCGGGCCGAAUUUUUUCCCGGGCCCAGCCCGGCCCAUGGACAGGUCUAGUGACAGUACAAAUGGGUUUUAAAUGCCAACUACGAUGCCCAAUUAUUAUGACAAAAAUAGGUUUUUAAUUAAAUAAAUUUAAUUUAGACUGCCACGUAGGACCGUCAUUAGGGAGGUAAGAGAGCUUAAUGAUAGAGUGAUCAAUUCGUAACAGAACGAUAACAUUAGUGACUAAAACGUAACAUUUCAAACUUAAGCGACUGUUUUAUAGUUUACCCUUAAUGUAAUUAUUGGCGGAUGAUCUGGCCGCACCGACAAACAGCAGAAAUUGAGUCAUUUUCGUAAUUAUUUACAAAAUUUGGGUUACUUUUCUAAAAAAACCAGAGAAGAGAACCUCGCCUCUGCUUAAGAUAGCCGGACACUUUCUAACUUUCCCUUCUUUCAGUUUUUCAUCAACAGGUUUGCCUCUUACCAGAACAUCAAUGGAUGUUAGUGUAAAGAGAUGGAGCAUGAUACGCCCUGCUCAAGAUACUCCUAAAGAAAGGCAAUGGAUUUCAAAUCUGGACAUGGUGAUAACAACAUACCAUGUCCCUUUGCUGUUUUUCUACAAACCAAAUGGCUCCUCUGAUUUCUUUAAGCCUCAAGUGCUACAGGAGGCUUUAAGCAAGACUCUUGUGCAAUUCUAUCCUAUGGCUGGGAGGUUGGGACGUGAUGAAAAUGGUAGGCUCGAGAUAGUAUGCAACGCAGAGGGUGUUCUGUGGAUAGAAGCUGAAACUACAUCGGCCAUGGAUGAUCUCGACGGUUUUACUCCCUGCUCAAAACUGAGGAAACUGGUUCCCACGGCUGAUUACUCUGGAGAUAUCAGUUCUUAUCCGCUUAUUAUGGCUCAGGUAAGUGAAUGAAGAACUAUUAGCUUAUUAUAGAUGAUAACUGUUACUUGCAGUAGGAGACCAAGGAUAAGCUCUGAGAAAACUCAAACAGUCUGAUACUGAAGUUAUAGCACAAGAAAAACUAAGCUAUCAGCUAAGAAGUUGAUAUAUGGCUUUUUUUUUUCUAAACUGACUUAAAAGAAUCGAUUAAUUAUGAAAAUUACCCAGGUAUAAUAUCUUAUAUGAGAAUGACCCGUUUUCUACCGUAAAAAUUGGUACCGCUAGACUAUUUAGCGGUACCGAUAUUUUUGUAAAAGUAUUACCAUCAACAAAUUAUCGAUAUAUACUUUCCAUUCAUCUUCACAAGAAAGUGCUAAUUACGGAGGUCCAUGGUGGUGGCUUAGUAGUGAUGAAGAUGAAACCAAAACCCUUUUCUCUUCAAUGAACCUCUGGUUUGACUCAUUUGUAAUAAUUAUUUUCGCUCGUUGGAUACAACCGCAUUUUAAAUGGAAAACUGUAAUAAUCCUCACAGAAGAAAAGCAAAGAACAAGAUUAAUCAAAGCGAACAAUAUUGUUACAAAUGAGUUAGGCGAGAGGUUCAUUGAAGAGAAAAGGGUUUCGAUUUCAUCUUCUUCACUGCUAAGCCACUGCCAUGGAACUCUUAGACCUUUCUCAUGAAGCUAAACGAUACCAUCAACAAAGUGUAUCCUUUUUACAAAACUAACAUCGGUGCCAACAAUGAGUCCGGCAACAUUCAAAAAAUAUAUAUUUUUAAAAAACAUGGGGUGGUGCUUCAAUGGAAAUGGUGGCACCAAAUUUUAUGAUAGAAAAUGGGUUAUUCUCGUACAAAAUUUUACACUUGAGUCAUUUUUAUAAUUAAUAAAAUUUUUUGGUCAAUUUUGAAAAAAAAAACCUUAAUGUUUUUGUUUCGAAAAGGUCAAUUGUUGAGUGUAUAUUUUGCUAGGUAACUACUCUUAAAUGCGGUGGAGUUUGUCUUGGAAUAGCAACUCAUCAUACUUUGACUGAUGGCACAAUGACCUUACAUUUCAUUAAUAGUUGGUCUGAAAUGGCAAGAGGCUUGCCCCAAAUUAGCAUGCCACCAGUUAUUGACCGAACCCUUCUUCGAGCAAGAGUGCCACCAAUCCCUAGAUUUCAUCAUCUCGAAUAUGACCGACCUCCUUCCUUAUACACCUCUACGUCACUUGGCCCUAAUAACCAUAAACCCUCAACUGUAUAUGUUUUCAAGAUCACACAAAAUCAACUUAAUACCCUAAAAGCCAAGUCAUGGGAACAUGGAAACAAAACCAAUUACAGCACCUACACCAUUCUAGUUGCAUACAUAUGGCGCUGUGCAACUAAAGCUUGGGACCUCUCAUAUGAUCAGCCAACCAAGUUACACAUGCCAACUGAUGGACGCCCCAGACUACAUCCUCCCCUCCCAUCAACGUACUUGGGUAACGCAAUGUUUGCGGCUUCAUUAAUUGCUCUAUCUGGAAAUCUGCAAUCAGAACCGUUUGUAAAUACCCUAGAACGAGUUCAUGGAACAUUGCAAAGGAUGAAUAAUGAGUAUCUAAGAUCAGCUCUUGACUACCUAGAAACACUGCCAGAUAUAACAGUUGCCAGGAGAACACCGGACACUUACCAUUGCCCAAACCUAAGUAUCAACAAAUGGACACGACUGUCUUUAUAUGAUGCAGAUUUUGGAUGGGGUCGACCAAUAUACAUGGGUCCAGCAAACGUUGUCCAUGAAGGAAAAAUAUACAUACUACCAAGUCCAACCAAUGAUGGGAGCUUGUCACUGGUAGCAUGCCUACAGACUGCUCAUAUGAAACUCUUUGAGAAACAUCUAUACGAAGGCUUGAAGUCAUUUGACAAGAUCAAAGCUCGAUAUUAGUUGUUUGUUCUCUCUAACAAUAUAUGUAUAAACCUAUAAAUCUUCUACUUCUGUUUCUUUAACUAAGACUUUUUGUUUGGAUCCUGUUUAUUUGAAAUUUACCAUCUAAGCUGGCUUGGCGAACAGGUCUUUUAUUGGUAAUUAUUGUACUAUACCUCGAUAAUAGUAGUAUCAUUGAUCGCAAAGAAAUAAUAAAGAAAAAUAAGAAUAUACAGAUUUUACGUGGAAAAGUCUUACUAGGAAAAAAAAUCACGAGCAGAGUAAAAAUUCACUAAUGUUGAAAAAUACUAAUACAAGAAGUUUUUUUGACUACACACAUUUUAACGGUUAAAUAACAUUUUUAUAAUCAACGUUUAAUAGAAGAUCGCCCCCACAUAUCCCCCAAAUUUGCAAUUCUAUUUUAUUUCUUUAACAAACAAGUUGCACCUCGAAUUUUUCUGAUUGGAUCAAACGGGGUUCAGAUCAAACAGCUCUAACAACAACUCAAAUUAUUUGUCCAUAACCAUAUUAAAACAAAUACCGAAUAAUUGAAAUAUAUUCAAAAUUUUAAAUUAAAUUAAGUUUGGAUCAAACUCACUGAUGAUAUAUGAUUUACCUAAAGUGAAAUAAGAACUCGAAAAUACAAAUUUUAUGGGUAAAUUUUCAUUUUGGUCACUUAAUUAAAAAAUUAUAAUUUGGUUAUUAAACUAUUCAAAAGUUUUAUUUUAAGUCAUUGGAUUGUUAAAAUUGAUAUUAUAUGACUUUCUCUGUUCACAGUGCAUGCAUCAAUUGAAAGCUCUCUUUUUCCUUCAUUUCUACAGCUCAUUUUCUAUUUUUAUGUAACAACUUUGGACGUCACAAAUUUGCAGACCAAAAUUCAAACAUUUUUUGCUCUGAUUUCCAACAUGGACCAUCAAAUCAAUUUAGAUCUAAAUUAUAUUUUUAUACUCAUUAAUGGGUACUGAUCCACCAUAUCGAUUGUUGAAUCCUUACUUGGAGCUCGUUAAUGGAACUUAAAAAACAACUUAAUAUAUAGCCUAGUGACUUAAAUGAAAAUUUUUGAAUUUAGUGGCCAAACCAAAAACUUUCCUAUAAUUUAAUGAUUAAUGGUGUAGUUUACGCACUUCCUCUUGGCCCAAUUAAAGUUUUUGGUACUCCCACACACUAGUAAAAAAGUUUUAAUAGUAGAAAUGUAUGAAAUUUUUAAUAGAAAGUACCAUUUUACUUUUUGAUCUAUAUACAGAGACUAAUUUGCCAAUUUUUUAAAUAAAUGGGGUAAAAUGUAAUUUGACUUUUAAUAUAAAAAUCUCCAUGGUAUGUUUACCUUGAAAUUAUCAAUAAAAACUAAUAAAUAUAAAAUGAAACAGUUAAUAAUAUAUCAAAUAUCCACGAGGUGAUAGGUGAUUUUAAAAUUUAACAUUUACAACUUAAUGGGCUAGUGACAAGGCCAAGCAAACCAUUAGUGGAUUGGUAACAAAUUUGGUAAUAUUUCAACGAUCCAAUUGUUUAAUAUAUCGAUAUAACUGUAUUUGGUAUGCAUGUAAAUUUUUGAACCGAUCCGAUAUUUCUGACAUAUUGAUCCAAAAUAUUGUAUAUAUUGAACUAUUAAAAGUUUUUUAUAUAAAAUAAAUAGUUAGUUUUUUUUUUAAUUUACAUCAAAUUUGACAUGCAUAAUCUAUUUGAAUAGAAUAUGAAAUAUGACAAUUGAAUCAUUAAAAUAUGGGUAAACUACACCCAUGGUCACUUUUGUUUACCUUAGGUUACAUUUCAGUCACUUAUGUUUGAAAUGUUACAUUUUAGUCACUUACGUUAUCGUGUUGUAACAUUUUAGUCACUGAGCCGUUAAUUGCCGUUAAUGGUGUAAUGGUAAGCUGACGUGGCACGUUAAAUCAUCAUUUCAAACAAAAACUUUAGGUUAAAUUAUAAAAAAAAUUAAAUUACUAAAAACGAAAAAAAUAUGGGGAUCAAUUAUAUAAUUUAACCUAAAAUUUUGUUUGAAAUGAUGAUUUAACGUGCCACGUCAGCUUACCGUUACACCAUUAACGACGAUUAAUGGCUCAGUGACUAAAAUGUUACAACUUGAUAACGUAAAUGACUAAAACGUAACAUUUCAAACAUAAGUGACUUAAACGUAACCUAAAGUAAACAAAAGUGACCAUGAGUGUAGUUUACCCUUAAAAUAUUAAUCGUAUAAAAAAAUAAAAUACAUAUUUUAAAUUUAAUAUAAAAAUGUUUAAAAAACACUAAAAUAAAUUAAUAAAAUUCUCAAUGACUUUUGGGUUUAAAUCACAAUUAUCGAAACAGGACAAAUCGAAAAUUAAUUAAUGUAUAAAUUUGGAAUAAGAGGAUUAAUUAUCUCACAAAUUGGUUAAAUCAACCAAUCAGAUAAUUUUUUUCAUUUUUAAAUUUUUUAAUAAUUUAUUUAAUUAAAUUAAUCAAAUCAAUCAAAUCGGAAUUAGAAUCUAAUUCUAAACACUUUGCUUUGUUAUGUCAAAGCUAUAUGUUUUUUUUACACCUUAUUUAUUCUGCAAAUUAUUGUCCGCACAUGUCAACUCUUUAUCAGCUUUUAAUGACGUGUACGGUAUAGAUAGCCUAUCUUCAAUUUUUUUUAUUUGCCAAAUUCUUUUAUUAUUCCUUGUAUUAUAAUUAGUUUGUGAAUUUAAUCUCUAUAUUAAAAUAAAAUGUCAAUUUUAGUCCUUAUACUUUUUAGCAUUUAAAAUUUUAAUCCUCCACAAAGAGUAGUAAUUAAAUAUGUUUGUUAAUUUAUGUCGUUAAUCUUGUACACAGUAUAAAGUUAUUCCACGUUCUCUAAUUUGAUCAUUCAUAAUCCUUAUAUUUUUUGAAUUUUUAAAUUUUAACAAGCUGAUAUAAUAUUACAUAUAUGAUAAUAUUUUUGACGUAUAAGAUUUUGAAAAUAAUAAAACUACUUAAUGAAUUUAAUGAUUAUCGUUUAUAUCAAUAUUGAAAUUUUAAAAUUAGAAAAAUAUACGGACUAAAAUGAUUAAAUUAAAGUACAUAGACUAAAUUUACAACUUGCCCAUUGCAUAAGUACUAAUAGCAGGAUUUAACCUAUUUUUACAUUUAAAUAUGUAAAAAUAUCACCCAUCCACUGCCUUCCAACAGAGAAGAUAAGUUUUUUUUUUUUAGCAAUAAAAGAAAUAAUAAUUACCUGAUAAAUUAUUUUAUGGAAAUUUUUCACCAUAUCUUCCAUGAUCCCGUCCAAGUAGACGAUGACACAUCAUCGUUUUUUUCCACAUCAUAUGUACAUUUAAACUAAACUUCUAAAUCAAAGAUGACAUGUCUUGUUUUAAUUGGUAGAAACUGUGGAUGGUCGGGUGGAAAAUGCCCAUAAAAUAAUUUCUCAUUAUUACCUUGUCUUCGAACACAAACACACAAGCAUUAGCAAACAGAUUUCGCCCAUCCGCUACCUCCCAAUAGACAAGAUAGGUUAUUUUUAAUUAACUCAAUUUUUUUGAUUAAUUACGAAAAUAAUCAACUUAAAAAUUACGUACGUAAAUGAUUUGAUUUUUACAGUGCUUGUCGAUGCUGCCAGACACAUCGGCGGCACCGGUCUCAUCAUCGACCAAUAAUUGUAUUAUUUUAAACAUUUUCAGUUCAUUCCCUAGCAUAUUUAAAUUUAUAUAAAUUGAGAUAAUUUUUUGAAGGAUAUAUUUGGGUAAUUUAAAUAAGACUUUUAACUUUAUUGUUUCUAAAAAAAUAAAAAGAAUUUAUUUUUGUUAUUCUUAUAUUUUUAAGGGCUAUUUAAAUAUAAUUUUAAAAAUAGAUAUACUUAACACGCAAAUAAAUAAAAAAAUUGAAAAGCAUCAAAUUUGGUGCCGACAUGGUGCACUAAAAAGUUAUUAUUUUCUGGGUAAAUUAUAGCAAUAGUCACUUUUAUUUACCUCAUAUUAUAUUUUAGUUAUUUAUGUUUAAAAUAUUACAUUUUAGUCACUUACAUUAUCAUUUUGUUAUUAAGUGAUCACUCCACCGUUAAACUUCGUUACUUCUCUAACGGUAGUCCUAUGUGACAGUACAAAUUGAUUUUAAAUGCCAACUGGCAACUAUGAUGUCCAAUUGUUGGGACAAAAAUAGGUUUUUAAUUAAAUAAAUUUAAUUUGGACUGCCACGUAGGACCGUCAUUAGGAAGGUAAGAGAGCUUAAUGAUAAAGUGACCAAUUCGUAAUAAAACGAUAAUAUAAGUGACUAAAACGUAAUAUUUUAAACUUAGGUGAAUAAAAUAUAAUCUGAAGCAAAUAAAAGUGACUGGUUUAUAGUUUAUCCAUAAUGUAAUUAUUGGCGGAUGAUCUGGCCGCACCGACAAACAGUACAAAUUGAGUCAUUUUCGUAAUUAUUCACAAAAUUUGGGUUACUUUAAUAAAAACCCGAGAAGAGAACCUCGCCUUUGCUUAAGAUAGACGGGCACUUUCUGACCUUCCCUUCUGUUGGUUUUUCAUCAGCAAGUUUGCCUCUGAUGGGUUGUCGAAUCCACCAAUGUAAACCUACGCCUAACUUGCAAAUUAAGCAGUAUAGGGAGUAGGGUCGAUCCCUCAGAGACUGGGUUUACUGCAAAUUGUUCCUCUCUUGACCAGAUUUUUGUCAGGGCAGUUGUCGUGCCCAAGAAAUUCAGAGGGAUAAAAUCUGAAACCUGAAAUAAAUAAAUAAAAAGCGUAAAAAGUAAAAGUUGAAGACAGAAUAAUAAAAACAGUGAAAUAAAUAUGAAGAAAAAUUAAUUAGAAUAAGCUCAGCUUUAGGCACGAAUUUUCCUCGUCUUUGAACCGAUCCUCGAAAUUGGAUGAACUCCUCUUUUCCAAUAACUAGUUAUAGCUACCAAGGACGCCUCGGGCACCAACUCUUCCUUGUGUAAAUUAGUUAUGGAACAUCCAAUAACUAACCUUUACCAAUCGAACAACCACGAAACAUUCGUGAUUUAGAACUCCGACAGCUUUGCGUUCUAGAAGAGCCUAGCUCGAACCAAUGCCCUCAACCGCGUGGGACAUUUAAAUCCGGUUACUACUUCCCUUGACGGAACCAAAUAGCAAUCUCCACGGGCACGCCACUGUGUUCACAGAAAACCAAAUAGAAACGUUCCUUUCGGAAUUCCAACUGUACGUCUAAUCACACUAAAUCAAACGACGUCUUUUUUUGACUUAGUGCUGGUCUGACUUUAUGAGUUGACAAAAUCAUACUCUUAAUCCAGAGAAGUAAUAAGUACUAGAAUUUUAGGAGUUAAAUGGCUCGGGUUCGUAACUCACGGGUUUUGACGAUGCUAAUUUCGGCCUAAAGCUGAAAAUGGUUUUAGUUGGCUAAGGUUUGGGGCACGUUGGUAUUAGAAUAAUUAAAUAAGAUUGAAUAAAUGAAAAAAAAAAAUGAAAGUGAGUGGUGAAGGUUAUGCAAGGUUGGAAAUUAAUUGCUAACAAAAAACAGGAAAGAAAAGAUUGAAUUGCAAGAGAUAAAAGCUUAAUUUAAAAACGAAAUGAUUAAAAACUUGAUGGAAAAUUUUAUGAAAAGACUUGAUGAAAAACUUUAAAAAGAACUUGCUGCAAAACUUGAUAAAAAAACUUGGUAAUUAAAAACUUGAUAAAAGAACUAGAUGAAAAAUACUUGAAGAAUGAAAAACACUUAAUGAAAGACUCAAUUGAAAGCUUGAUUCAUGAAUUGAUGAAUUGAUAAACAAUGUAGCCUCUAUUUAUACUAGUAGCUUUACUAAAUUAGGAGCCAACUAGUAUAGAAAAUCAAGGAAAAUAUUCCAUAAUAUAAAAAAUAUCCCAAAAUAAUCUCCCACUAAGUCAACAAUUUCAGCUAAUUAUUCUUGGAAAAAUUCUACUUUGGCCCUCGUUCUUUGCUUCUUUCNNNNNNNNNNNNNNNNNNNNNNNNNNNNNNNNNNNNNNNNNNNNNNNNNNNNNNNNNNNNNNNNNNNNNNNNNNNNNNNNNNNNNNNNNNNNNNNNNNNNNNNNUUAACCAAUUUAAUUACAUAAAAUAUGUAACUUUAGCAUUUAAUCAAAUCCCCCUACUUAGCUUAUUCUAGUCCUCGAGCAUUUUGUAUGUAUCUGCAAAAGGAAAAAUUUUCUCCAAAAUAGGACUUGGCCCUCAUGGUUUGCACAAUUCAACAAUUUAAUCCUAGCACACUAACAUCUCAAAUAACCUAGCCUAAGAAGUAAGUAAAUAUAUUUCAGAAUUUAUUAGAGCUUGAUAGACUUACCUUUCAUUUUAUUAUUUUUUGUGCUUAGGACAUUUUCGAAUUUUUUGACGCGAGACAUGAUGACAACCCAAGCACCAUGUUCCGGUUACUCAAUUCGGAUGUCUCUAAGCGGGUUAUUUCGCCCUACUCAUGAUAACUUGUUAGCGGAGUGAGUGCAAAGAAAUUGGACAGCUACACGAACCUUUUUACGCGAGAUGUGAUGACAACCCAAGCACCAUAUUCCGGUUACUUAGUCCAGUGUACAACCUCAAUUUUCACUCUUAACAUUCGUAUCAGAGGAGUAUUAUUAUUCAUUUUUUCUUUUUUUUCUUUUCUUUUUUUUUUUGAAAGAUAAAAUAGGUAGUCAAGCAAACUCAUAAUUCCCAAAAAUUUCUUACCCACUAAGUCUAGGUUAUUGAAAAGUUGUAUGUGUAAAGAACUAGAUAGCUAAAUAGGUCAAACCAUAAGUGUACCAUCCCAAUUUAUCAAAAGAAAAAUUUUACCUUUCACGAAAAACAUGCAAAAAUAGCGACAACAGAUAAGUAAAUUAGAACCAAUUUAUAUUUCCAUCCCCCCUACUUAUUUUACAUUGUCCCAAUGUAAUUCAAAGAAUAAAAGUAAAGAUAAGUAGGAGAAAGAGAGAAAAAGAAACUCUCCAUGUAUUUCAACGUCGUGGAGGGUGGUCUCGUAGGUAGAGUGGGCCUUGGCUGAAAUAAAAAGAAUUUUGUGGGUUGACAUGUGGAAUUUAAUUUUGUCUUGGAAUGUUUUCCUGUAAAAAUAAAAAUGAAAAUAAAAUAAAAUAGAAAAAAUAAAUAAUAAUAAUAAUAAUAGGAAAAUUUUAAAAAAUUCAAAUUUAUUAGCUAAGCUAUAAACUCGAAAAAUAAAUUAUUAAAAACCAAGAUUACGAGAUUUGGUAAAACAGUCGUGAUAAAUGCACCAAGUAAGUUCCCAGGAAAGAGAGGUGAGCCACAAUGGACAUACUUAAGUACCAAGUCUUUCCCUAGACAGAACUAAUCCUUGACAUGCAUUUUCAUUUUCUAUUUUACCAAAAAUUUUAUUUGCAUAAAGGAAAAGAAAAUUUGGGUUGCCUCCCAACAGCACUUUGUUUAACGUCGUUUAGCUCGACGACCUGUGUUAUUCAAAUUCUUUAUCUUUUUGUAAUAGACUGCAAAGCGGUUGCAUGAUCUUCGAGAAGUCUUUUAUGAAUUGUCUGUAAAAUCCGUACACCGUGAAAUCAUUCAUGAAGACUUCAAUGAUUUUCUCAACAUAAUCGGAAAAUAUGCUCACCAUGCAUUUCUGGAAAGUGGUCGGAGCAUUACAGAGUCCAAACGACAUUCGUCUAUACGUAAACAUUCUGGAAGGGCACGUGAAAGUUGUUUUGUCUUGAUCCUCUGCCUCCCUCAAUGUUUCGAGGAUUUCUUUUUCCUCUUUCGCUUUCUUAUCCUUUGCGAGCCUCUCUGGAAAAAGAGGUGGCAUCAAGAAUGGUUUCUGAAUUUCUGAUUCCGGUCUGACUUUUGGAUCAGAGAUCUGCUUUUCCCGUUCAUUGCCUUACCCAUAACUUUUGUCUGGAACUGUUUCCAGAAUCUUUGCGCUACAAAGAGUUAUUGCACUUACAUUCUGCCUAGGAUUCAGCUCUGUUUGGGAAGGUAAUUUACCUUGAGAUUCCAAACGAUUAACUGCCAUCGAGAGUUUACUAACUUGAUUAGUUAACUCUUAUAUUGAUGCGUCUGUCCUCUUUUGAUAUUUUGCAGCAUUGAAAGCAAGUCUUUCCACAAGAGCGUCUAGAGAUGUGCUUGACUUGGGUUGUUAUUGUGGUGGUUACAAAUGUCUCGGUUGGUAUGAUGGAUUAUAUCGGGGAUUAGCUCCGUAAUUCAAGUUGGGAUGAUCCUUCCACCCGGGAUUGUAAGUGUUGAAGAAAGGAUCAUAACGUCUUUGUGGAGGUUCUGAAAAACCUCCGAUAGCAUCAACAUGUGCCUUUGAAUUUUCGUUAAGGAUUGGGCACAAAUCUGUCGAAUGUUCAGAUAUAGUACAAAUUCCACACGGUUGGGUCCGAUUCUUCUUUUCUGUAAGCAUAGAUUGAACAAUAUUAGUAAGCUUAUCCAAUUUAUCUUCUAAGGAUGAAACGUUUACCCAAUUAACCCGUCUUGUGGGUUCUGAAUCCGGCCGAUACUGUUGAGAAUUUGUCGCCAUGGUGGAUAUUAGUUCUCUUGCCCUUUGAGGAGUCAUAUUGACAAGCGCCCCUCCACUAACAGCGUCAAUCAUCUUCAUUUCCAUAGGGAGCAAACCCUCGUAGAAAUAUUGAAAAAGUGAUUGCACGGUCAAACUGUGUUGAGGACAACUUGCACACAGUUUUUUAUACCGCUCCCAAUAGUCGUAGAGCGAUUUACUCUCCAUUUGGCGAAUUCCCACUAUGUCUCUCCUUAGUUCAGCUACUUGCGAUGUUGGGAAAAAUCUGUCAAGAAAAACACGAGAUAAGUCAUCCCACGUUGUAAUAGAACCAGGGGGUAAGUAAAAUAACCAUUCUUUUGCUGUAUCAACUAAAGAAAAAAGAAAGGCCCGAAGUUUAAUUUUAUCUUCGGUUACUCCCUGUGGUUUCAAGCUUGAGCAGACCAUGUGGAAUUCUCUCAAGUGAGUGUGUGGAUUUUCAUUCUUCAAGCCUUGAAAAGUGAGCAAAAGGUGAAUUAGGACUGACUUUAACUCGAACGAGGUUUUUCCGACUGGAUAGUUGAUGCAUAACGGUGUUUGCUCGUUGGGAGCAGUGGCUAGUUGACGAAUGGUUCGGUUCACCAUCCUUUCUAGUUCACCGAGGUUGUCUUCUGCUUCUUUUAUUUUAGGAAGUGAUUUGGUCUCAGGUUCAACCACUUCAACUUUUUUUCCACGUUGAAUUGCUUCUACACGUUUAAGAACUUCUGUCUCUUUACGUCGUGCUCGUGCUGAUUUUUUGAUCUCUGGGUCGUAUUCGAGAUCUCCGGAGGAAGAUCUGGUCAUGAAAAUAAUCUAAACAAUUGUAAGUGUUGCCAGUCCCCGGCAACGGUGCCAAAACUGAUGGGUUGUCGAAUCCACCAAUAUAAACCUACGCCUAACUUACAAAUUAAACAGUAUAGGGAGUAGGGUCUAUCCCUCAGAGACUGGGUUUACUGCAAAUUAUUCCUCUCUUGACCAGAUUUUUGUCGGGGCAGUUGUCGUGCCCAAGAAAUUCGGGGGGAUAAAAUUUGAAACCUGAAAUAAAUAAAUAAAAGCGUAAAAAGUAAAAGUUGAAGAUAGAAUAAUAAAAACAGUGAAAUAAAUAUGAAGAAAAAUUAAUUAGAAUAAGCUCAGCUUUAGGCAUGAAUUUUCCUCAUCUUUAAACCGAUCCUCGAAAUUGGAUGAACUCAUCUUUUCCAAUAAGCUAGUUAUAGCUACCAAGGACGCCUCAGACACCAACUCUUCCUUGUGUAAAUUAGUUAUGGAACGUCCAAUAACUAACCCUUACAGGUCGAAUAACCACAAAACGUUCGUGAUUUAGAACUCCGGUAGCUUUGCGUUCUAGAAGAGCCUAGCUCGAACCAAUGCCCUCAACCGCGUGGGACAUUUAAAUCCGGUUACUACUUCCCUUGAUGGAACCAAAUAGCAAUCUCCACUUGGCACACCAAUGUGUUCACAGAAAAACGAUUAGAAACGUUCCUUUCAGAAUUCCAACUGUACGUCUAAUCACACAAAAUCAAACGACAUCUUUUUUUGACUUAGUACUGAUCUGAUUUUGUGAGUUGACAAAAUCAUACUCUUAAUCCGGAGAAGUAAUAAGUACUGGAAUUUUAGGAGUUAAAUGGCUCGGGUUCGUAACUCACGGGUUUUGACAAGGCUAAUUUCGGCCUAAAGCUGAAAAUGGGUUUAGUUGGCUAAGGUUUGGGGCAUGUUGGUAUUGGAAUAAUUAAAUAAGAUUGAAUAAAUGAAAAAAAAUGAAAGUGAGUGGUGAAGGUUAUGCAAGGUUGGAAAUUAAUUGCUGACAAAAAACAGGAAAGAAAAGAUUGAAUUGCAAGAGAUAAAAGCUUAAUUUAAAAACGAAAUGAUUAAAAACUUGAUGGAAAAUUUUAUAAAAAGAUUUGAUGAAAAACUUUAAAAAGAACUUACUGCAAAACUUGAUAAAAAACUUGGUAAUUAAAAACUUGAUAAAAGAACUAGAUGAAAAAUACUUGAAGAAAGAAAAACACUUAAUGAAAGACUUAAUAGAAAGCUUGAUUCAUGAAUUGAUGAAUUGAAAAACAAUGUAGCCUCUAUUUAUACUAGUAGCUUUACUAAAUUAGGAGCCAACUAGUAUAGAAAAUCAAGGAAAAUAUUCUAUAAUAUAAAAAAUAUCCCAAAAUAAUCUCCCACUAAGUCAACAAUUUCAGAUAAUUGUUCUUGGAAAAAUUCUGCUUUGGCCCUCAUUCUUUGCUUCUUUCUUCAAUCUAGCCCAAUUGUUUCAUUUUUCUUCUAUUUAGCCCCAAAUUGCAUUCCUGCACAAAAUUCAAUAAAUAUGGCAAAAUUCGUGGUGCAUUCUCAUAAAUUAACCCAUUUAAUUACAUAAAAUAUGUAACUUUAGCAUUUAAUCAGCCUCUUACCAGAACAUCAAUGGAUGUUAGUGUAAAGAGAUGGAGCAUGAUACGCCCUGCUCAAGAUACUCCUAAAGAAAGGCAAUGGAUUUCAAAUCUGGACUUGGUGAUGCCAACAGACCAUGUCCCUUUACUGUUUUUCUACAAACCUAAUGGCUCAUCUGACUACUCCAAGCCUCAAGUGCUACAGGAGGCUUUAAGCAAGACUCUUGUGCAAUUCUAUCCUAUGGCUGGGAGGUUGGGACGUGAUGAAAAUGGUAGGCUCGAGAUAUUAUGCAACGCAGAGGGUGUUCUGUGGAUAGAAGCUGAAACUACAUCGGCUAUGGAUGAUCUCGACGAUUUUACUCCCUGCUCAAAACUGACGAAACUGGUUCCCAAGGCUGAUUACUUUGGAGAUAUCAGUUCUUAUCCGCUUAUUAUGGCUCAGGUAAGUGAAUGAAGGACUAUUAUCUUAUUAUAGAUGAUAACUGUUACUUGCAGUAGGAGACCAAGGAUAAGAUCUGAGAAAACUCAAACAGCCUGAUACUGAAGUUAAAGCACAAGAAAAACUAAGCUAUCAGCUAAGAAGUUGAUAUAUGGCCUUUUUUUCAAAAAUUGAGUUAAAAAGAAUCGAUUAAUUAUGAAAAUACCCAGGUAUAAAAUCUUAUACGAGAAUGACCCAUUUUCUACGGUAAAAAUUGGUACCGCGAGACUAAUUAGCGGUACCGAUAUUUUUGUAAAAAGUAUUACCAUCAACAAAGUAUCAAUACUUUCUAUUCAUCUUCACAAGAAAGUGCUAAUUACGGAGGUUCAUAGUGGUGGCUUAGUAGUGAAGAAGAUGAAACCAAAACCCUUUUCUCUUCAAUGAACCUUUGGUUUGACUCAUUUGUAAUAAUCAUUUUCGUUCGUCGAAUUUGACUGCAUUUUAAAUGGAAAACUAUAAUAAUCCUCACUGAAGAAAAGCUAAGAACAAGAUUAGUCAAAGCGAACAAGAUUAUUACAAAUGAGUCGGGCAAAAGGUUCAUUGAAGAGAAAAGGGUUUCGGUUUUCUCUUCUUCACUGCUAAGCCACCACCAUGGAACUUUUAGCACUUUCUCGUGAAGCUAAAUGAUACCAUCAACAAAGUAUUGAUCCUUUACCGAUGCCACCAAUGAGUCCAACAACAUUCAAAAUAAAUAUUUUUUUUUAAAAAAACAUGGGGUGGUGCCUUCAAUGGGAAUGGUGGCACCAAAUUUUAAGGUAGAAAAUGGGUCAUUCACGUACAAGAUUUUACACUUGAGUCAUUUUUAUAAUUAACCAAUUUUUUUGGUCAAUUUUGAAAAUAAAAAACUUUAAUACUUUUGUUUCAAAAAGGUCAAUUGUUGUGUGUUUAUUUUGCUAGGUAACUACUCUUAAAUACGGUGGAGUCUGUCUUGGAAUAGCAACUCAUCAUACUUUGACUGAUGGCACAACGGCCUUUCAUUUCAUCAGUAGUUGGUCUGAAAUGGCAAGAGGCUUGCCCCAAAUUAGUAUGCCACCACUUAUUGACCGAACCCUUCUCCGAGCAAGAGUGCCACCAAUCCCUAUAUUUCAUCAUCUCGAAUGUAACCCACCUCCUUUCUUAAACACCUCUACGUCACUAGGCCCUAAUAACCAUAAACCCUCAACUGUAUCUGUUUUCAAGAUCAUACAAAAUCAACUUAAUACCCUAAAAGCCAAGUCAUGGGAACAUGGAAACAAAACCAAUUGCAGCACCUACACCAUUCUAGCUGCAUACAUAUGACGCUGUGCAACUAAAGCUCGGGGCCUCUCAUAUGACCAAAAAACCAAGUUAGACAUGCCAAUUAAUGGACGUCCCAGACUACAUCCUCCCCUCUCAUCAACGUACGUGGGCAAUGCAACGUUUGCGGGUUCAUUAAUUACUCUAUCUAGAAAUCUCCAAUUAGAACCGUUUGUAAAUACCCUAGAACGAGUUCAUGAAACAUUGAAAAGGAUGAAUAAUGAGUAUCUAAGAUCAGCUCUUGACUACCUAGAAACACUGCCAGAUAUAACAGUUGCCAAGAGAAAACUGGACACUUACCAGUGCCCAAACCUAAAUAUCAACAAAUGGACACGACUGUCUAUAUAUGAUAUAGAUUUUGGAUGGGGUCGACCAAUAUACAUGGGUCCAGCAAAUGUUGUCCAUGAAGGAAAAAUAUACAUACUACCAAGUCCAACCGAUGAUGGGAGCUUGUCACUGGUAGCAUGCCUGCAAACUGCUCAUAUGAAACUCUUUGGGAAACAUCUAUACGAAGGCUUGAAGUCAUUUGACAAGAUCAAAGCUCGAUAUUAGUUGUUUGUUCUCUCUAUCAAUAUAUGUAUAAACCUAUAAAUCUUUUACUUCUGUUUCUGUAACUAAGACUUUUUGUUUGGAUCCUGUUUAUUUGAAAUUUACCAUCUGGCCUGGCGGAUAGGUCUUUUGGUAAUUAUUAUACUAUACUUCAAUAAUAGUAGUAGUAUUGAUCACAAAAAAAUAAUAAAGAAAAAUUAGAAUACACAGAUUUUACGUGAAAAAGUCUUAUUAGGAAAAAAAAUCAUGAACAGAGGAGAAAUUCACUAAUGUUUGAAAACAACAAUGCAAGAGGUUUUUUUGACUACACGUUUAAACGGUUAAAUAACAUUUUUAUAAUCAACGUCUAAUAGAAGAUCGCCCCCACAUAUCCCCCAAAUUUGCAAUUCUAUUUUAUUUUUUUAACAAAUAAGUUGCACCUUGAAGUUUUCUGACUGGAUCAAACGAGAUCAAACAACUCUGGCAACACCUCAAAUUAUUUGUCCAUAACCAUAUUAAAUCAAAUACCAAAUAAUUGAAAUAUAUUCAAAAUUUUAAAUUAAAUUAAGUUUGGAUCAAACUCACUGAUGAUAUAUGAUUUACCUAAAGUGAAAUAAGAACCUGAAAAUACCAAAUUUAUGGGUAAAUUUUCGUUUUGGUCACUUAAUUAAAAAAUUAUAAUUUGGUUAUUGAACUAUUCAAAAGUUUUCUUUUAAGUCAUUGGAUUGUUAAAAUUGAUGUUAUAUGACUCUCUGUUUGCAGUGCAUGCAUCAAUUGAAAGCUCUCUUUUUCCUUCACUUCUACAGUUCAUUUUCUAUUUUUAUGUAACAACUUUGGACGUCACAAAUCUGCAAACUAAAAUUCAAACAUUUUUUGCUUUGAUUUCCAACAUUGACCAUCAAAUCAAUUUAGAUCUAAGGUAUGUUUUUCUACACAUUAAUGGGUACCGAUCCAUCGUAUCUAUUGUUGAAUCCUUACAUGGAGCUCGUUAGUGGAACUUAAAAAACAACUUAACAGCCUAGUGAUUUAAAUGAAAAUUUUCGUAUUUAGUGACCAAACCAAAAACUUUCCCAUAAUUUAAUGACUAAUGGUGUAGUUUAUGCACUUCCUCUUGCCCCAAUUGAAGUUUUUGGUACUCCCAAACACUAGUAAAAAAGUUUUAAUAGUAUAAAUGUAUGAAAUUUUUAAUAGAAAGUACCAUUUUACUUUUUGAUCUAUAUAGAGAUACUGAUUUGUCAAUUUUUUAAAUAAAUGGGACAAAAUGCAAUUUGACAUCUAAUAUAAAAAUCUCCACGACGUGAUAAGUGCUUUCGAAACUGGAUUAGAUCAAAUCGAAAAUUAAUUAAUGUAUCAGUUUGAAAUAAGGGGAUUAAUUAUCUCACAAAUUGGUUAAAUCGACCAAUCAGACCACUGUUUUUCAAUUUUCAAUUUUGUAAUAAUUUAUUUAAUUAAAUUAAUCAAAUCAAUCAAAUCGGAAUUAGAAUCUAAUUCUAAACACUUUGCUUUGUUAUGUCAAAGCCACUUGUUUUUUUUACACCUGAUUUAGUCUACCAAUUACUGUCCACGCGUGUCAACUCUUUAUCAUCUUUUAAUGACGUGUACGGUAUAGAUAGCUUGUCUUCAAUUUUUUUAUUUGCCAAAUUCAGUUAUUAGUCCCUGUAUUAUAAGUAGUUUGAAAAUUUAAUCUCUAUAUUAAAAAAAUAGUCAAUUUCAGUCCUUAUAUUUUUUAGCAUUUAAAAUUUUAAUCCUCCACAAAGAGUAGUGUAACACCCCUUACCCGUAUCCAACACCGGAAUAGGGUACGAGGCAAUACCAGAACACAUACACUUGUAAACAUAUUUAACCGAGUUAUAAAAUUUCAUCUAAAUUAAAACUUUCAAAAUUAUUAACAUGCUUUUAUAACUCUUCACAAUAUAUCCUCAAAAUAUUAUAAUCUUAAUAAAUAGAGUCUACGAGACCCGAUACAUACUCAUACAAUUCAAUGCUUCAUUUCCAUUUCAUUCAAUUCGUAAUUUCUCAUGCUCACAAUUUAGAUCAUAUCACCAGCAAUUUCCAUUUAAUUCAUGUACAAUUCAAUGUCACUAAGUUUAACACUAAUACGUAUUUACCAUUUAACUCAACGUUUAUCGGUUAUACCAUUCAUUAACACAUUUAUGAAAUUCUCAAUUUUGCAAUGAAGAUAUCACUUUAGCUUAAAUAACAACAUCAUCCUGGUAUAAAUACACUACCACUUAUCCAUUUGCUUUAAUUCUUUUGGGCCCAUUUGUCACUUACCAUCCUUAAUCAAAUUAGGGAAUGGUUACAGAAAAUUGAGUACUUCACUUCCACUUUGCCAUAGUAUAACUGUGGUCUUACUUAUGAUCAGUUAUCACUUGUCCCUGAUCAGAUAAGUGUAGCUAGGCUACCACUUAUCACUUUGUCACUUGAUCAGAUAAGUGUAGCUAAAGCUACCACUUUUCACUUUGUCACCACUUAUCACUUGUUCCUGAUCAAAUAAGUGUAGCUAGGCUACCACUUAUCACUUUGUCACUUGAUUAGAUAAGCGUAGCGAAAGCUACCACUUAUCACUUUGUCACCAUUUAUCACUUGUUCCUGAUCAGAUAAGUGUAGUUAAAGCUACCACUUAUCAUUUUGUCACUUGAUCAGAUAAGUGUAGUUAAAGCUACCACUUAUCACUUUGUCACUUGAUCAGAUAAUUGUAGCUAGGCUAUCACUUAUCACUUUGUCACUUAAUCAGAAGUACUCAAACCCGGCGUUCCGCUCAAUUUGAUCAUUUAUUCAGUUUUCGCAUUUUUAUUUUAUUCUCAUUUCAUCAAUAAAUAUAUAUUUCAUCAUACAUUAUAUAAUUCAUGAAAUUAACAUUUAAUCAUUAAAUUUCAAUCAUAUGAACUUACCAGGCUAAUUUGCAGAAAUACCAAGAUACAAGGGCAUUUUGAUAAUUUUCCAUUUUCUCAAUUUUCUACCCGAUAUUGAUCUAAAUUAAUUUUUCAUUUAAUAAAACAACUCAUUUCAUGCAAUUUGGUCAUUUUUUACAUUUUUCCAAAAUUACCCCUAAAGUUUUACUUUUAUUCAAUUUAGUCCUCGAGCCCAAAUCAUGCAAAUUAACCAUUUUAAAUGCAAAUCCAUGCUAGCAUAAUAUUCAUAAAUUUAUUUUCCUCCUCCUCCUCUCCAUUCCACAUCCUUAAUUUACAAACAUGCUUAUAAGUAACAUUAUCUAUAAUUUCACUAUUUUCUUGUAAAUUUAUUCAAAGCUGUCCAUUUGAGUCAUAGUCGCUAAAUCAUUUAUAUCUUGAGCUACAGAAAUCCAAAUUAAGAUCCGUUAAUUUUUCCUGAAACUAGACUCACAUAUCUUCUUCCCAUAAAAUUUUCAGAAUUUUUGGUUCAGCCAAAUAGUACAGUUUAUUCUUUAAAGUUUCCCCUAUUUUGCUGUCUGACAGUUCUGACCACUCUACACUAAAAAUGAAUUAUCUAAUUGUACAGAAUUUGGAUGAUGUUUUAGUUUAUUUAAUUUGAAAAUAUAUUCAUUAAGGAUUCUAAUCAUAUAAAUUAUAACUCAUAAUUAUUUUUCUUCAAUUUUUGAUGAUUUUCCAAAGUCAGAACAGGGGAACCCGAAAUCAUUCUGACAUUGUCUCACAAAAUUUAUUAUAUCGCAUGAUUUACAAUUAUAUUGCUUACACCAUUUCUUCUAUGAGAAACUAGGCUCAAUAAGCUUUAAUUUCAUAUUUUAUUUAUCUUCUAAUUAAAUUCCCACAAUUUUUGGUGAUUUUUCAAAGUUAACCUACUGCUGCUGUCCAAACUGUUUUAGUGCAAAAUAUCGAUUAUUAAGUUUAUAACACUCUUAUUUUCUUUCUCUACACUAUUUCUCUCUUCACUAACAUACCAAGAACAUAAAAUCUUAUAUAAUAAAACUCUACAUUAACAUCAAUUUCAUACCUUUUCAAUAAUAUCAAACUAAAAAAUAUAUUGAAAUCUUGAUGUUCUUACCUUGCUUAAUUGAUUUCAAUCUUUAACUUGAUAUUCUCUCUCCUCCAGCUUCUAUUUCUUGAAUCUAACUUGAUAUUCUAGCUCCCCAUAGUCUCCUUGUUAUCUUUCUCUCUUGAUGGAUAUGGAAAUUCUUUUGAUUUCUAAGUGAAAAUGGUAAAUUUUUGGUAAAAGGACUAAAUUAUAAAGAAAAGAAAGUUUCUUUCUUUCUUUCCUCUUCAUACGUUGGUUGCAUGGGGAAGAAGAUGAUAAUUCCUCAUGUUUCCUUUUAUAUAUAUACUAAAUAGAAUAAUAAUAAAUUAAUAAAAUAUCAUUUAAAAAUCAUAUUAAAAUAUUAAUAAACUAAUAUUUAUUUAAUUAAUUAAUCUAAAAUAUCACCAACAUCAUCAUUGCCUUCUAGAUUUCUCUCUCUUCUAAUUGGCCAUUUUUCCCUUCAUAAUCUUUUAAAAUUCCAUCAUUGAGUCACACUUAAUUUGGUAAAAUUACGAUUUAGUCCCUCAUAAUUCUUAUUUUAUUCAAUUUGGUCCUAAUUCAUCCAUUUUCCUUAGUUUCUAGAUCAUUCCACCCUUAAAAUAUUUACAUCUUUGGUCCUUCAACUUUUUCAUAUUUACACUUUAACCCCUCAAAUUUUGAGUAUUUACUCUUGGGCAACAAUACUUUUCUCACUUUUGCGAUUUAAUCCUUCCUUGCAUUAAUAUGUCAUAAUAUACUUCUCAAUGUUGACAUAUCUCAAAAUUUCCCUUUUUUUUUUUUUACUUUAUUUCCUUAUUUUACUUUACCAAGAAUAAUAUCUUACUGUAGAAAUUUUCAAAAUAUUACAUUUGUGGUCCCGAAACCACUAUUUCGACUAGGCCCAAAUUCGGGCUAUUACAAGUAGUAAUUAAAUAUGUUUGUUAAUUUAUGUCGUUAAUCUUUUACACAGUAUAAAGUUAUUCCACGUUCUUUAAUUUGAUCAUUCAUAAUCCUUAUAUUUUUUGAAUUUUUAAAUUUUAAUAAGCUGACAUAAUAUUACAUAUAUGAUAAUAUUUUUGACGUAUAAGAUUUUGAAAAUAAUAAAACUUAAUGAAUUUAAUGGUUAUCGUUUAGAUCAAGAUUGGAAUUUCAAAAUUAGAAAAAUAUACGGACUAAAAUGAUUAAAUUAAAGUACAUAGACUAAAUUUACAACUUUCCCAUUGCAUAAGUACUAAUAGCAGGAUUUAACCUAUUUUUACAUUUAAAUAUGUAAAAAUAUCACCCAUCCACUACCUCCCAACAGAGAAGAUAAGCUUUUUUUUAGCAAUAAAAGAAAUAAUAAUUACCUGAUAAAUUAUUUUAUGGACAUUUUUCACCAUAUCUUCCAUGAUCCCGUCCAAUUAGAAGAUGCCACAUCAUCUUUUUUUCCACAUCAUAUGUACAUUCAGACUAAACUUCCAAAUCAAAGAUGACGUGUCUUGUUUUAAUUGGUAGAAACUAUGGAUGGUCGGGUGGAAAAUGUCCAUAAAAUAAUUUCUCAUUAUUACCUUGUCUUCGAACACAAAAACACAAACAUUAGCAAACAGAUUUUGCCCAUCCGCUACCUCCCAAUAGACAAGAUAGGUUAUUUUUAAUUAACUCAAUUUUUUUGAUUAAUUACGAAAAUAAUCAACUUAAAAAUUACGUACGUAAAUGAUUGAUUUUUACAGUGCUUGUCGAUGCUGCCAGACACAUCGGCAGCACCGGUCUCAUCAUCGACCAAUAAUUGUAUUAUUUUAAACAUUUUCAGUUCAUUCCCUAGCAUAUUUAAAUUUAUAUAAAUUGAGAUAAUUUUUUGAAGGAUAUAUUUGGGUAAUUUAAAUAAGACUUUUAACUUUAUUGUUUCUAAAAAAAUAAAAAGAAUUUAUUUUUGUUAUUCUUAUAUUUUUAAGGGCUAUUUAAAUAUAAUUUUAAAAAUAGAUAUACUUAACACGCAAAUAAAUAAAAAAUUGAAAAGCAUCAAAUUUGGUGCCGACAUGGUGCACUAAAAAGUUAUUAUUUUCUGGGUAAAUUACAGCAAUAGUCACUUUUAUUUACCUCAUAUUAUAUUUUAGUUAUUUAUAUUUAAAAUAUUACAUUUUAGUCACUUACAUUAUUAUUUUGUUAUUAAGUGGUCACUCCACCGUCAAACUUCGUUACUUCUCUAACGGUAGUCCUACGUGACAGUACAAAUUGAUUUUAAAUGCCAACUGGCAACUACGAUGUCCAAUUGUUGGGACAAAAAAAGGUUUUUAAUUAAAUAAAUUUAAUUUGAACUGCCACGUAGGACCGUCAUUAGGGAGGUAAGAGAGUUUAAUGAUAAAGUGACCAAUUCGUAAUAAAACGAUAAUAUAAGUGACUAAGACAUAAUAUUUUAAACUUAGGUGAAUAAAAUAUAAUCUGAAGCAAAUAAAAAUGACUGAUUUAUAGUUUACCCAUAAUGUAGUUAUUGGCGGAUGACCCGGCCGCACCAACAAACAGCAGAAAUAGAGUCAUUUUCGUAAUUAUUCACAAAAUUUGGGUUACUUUUGUAAAAAAAACCCGAGAAGAGAACCUCGCCCUUGCUUAAGAUAGACGGACACUUUCUGACUUUCCCUUCUGUCAGUUUUUCAUCAACAGCUUUGCCUCUUACCAAAACAUCAAUGGAUGUUAGUGUAAAGAGAUGGAGCAUGAUACGCCCUGCUCAAGAUACUCCUAAAGAAAGGCAAUGGAUUUCAAAUCUGGACUUGGUGAUGCCAACAGACCAUGUCCCUUUACUGUUUUUCUACAAACCUAAUGGCUCCUCUGACUUCUUCAAGCCUCAAGUGCUACAGGAGGCUUUAAGCAAGACUCUUGUGCAAUUCUAUCCUAUGGCUGGGAGGUUGGGACGUGAUGAAAAUGGUAGGCUCGAGAUAUUAUGCAACGCAGAGGGUGUUCUGUGGAUAGAAGCUGAAACUACAUCGGCCAUGGAUGAUCUCGACGGUUUUACUCCCUGCUCAAAACUGAGGAAACUGGUUCCCACGGCUGAUUACUCUGGAGAUAUCAGUUCUUAUCCGCUUAUUAUGGCUCAGGUAAGUGAAAGAAGAACUAUUAUCUUAUUAUAGAUGAUAAGUGUUACUUGCAGUAGGAGACCAAGGAUAAGCUCUGAGAAAACUCAAACAGCCUGAUACUGAAGUUAAAGCACAAGAAAAACUAAGCUAUCAGCUAAGAAGUUGAUAUAUGGCCUUUUUUUUUUUUCUUUCAAAACUUGACUUAAAAAGAAUCGAUUAAUUAUGAAAAUACCCAGGUAUAAGAUCUUAUACGAGGAUGACCCGUUUUCUACGGUAAAAAUUGGUACCGCUAGACUAAUUAGCGGUACCGAUAUUUUUGUAAAAAGUAUUACCAUCAACAAAGUAUCGAUACUUUCCAUUCAUCUUCACAAGAAAGUGCUAAUUACGGAGGUCCAUGGUGGUGGCUUAGUAGCGAGGAAGAUGAAACCAAAACCCUUUCUUUUCAAUGAACCUUUGGUUUGACUCAUUUGUAAUAAUCAUUUUCGUUCGUCGAAUUUGACUGCAUUUUAAAUGGAAAACUGUAAUAAUCCUCACUGAAGAAAAGCUAAGAACAAGAUUAGUCAAAGCGAACAAGGUUAUUACAAAUGAGUCGGGCAAGAGGUUCAUUGAAGAGAAAAGGGUUUCGGUUUUAUCUUCUUUACUGCUAGGCCACCACCAUGGAACUUUUAGCACUUUCUCGUGAAGCUAAAUGAUACCAUCCACAAAGUAUUGAUCCUUUAUCGAUGCCACCAAUGAGUCCAACAACAUUCAAAAUAAAUAUUUUUUAAAAAAAACAUAGGGUGGUGCCUUCAAUGGGAAUGGUGGCACCAAAUUUUAAGGUAGAAAAUGGGUCAUUCUCGUACAAGAUUUUACACUUGAGUCAUUUUUAUAAUUAACCAAUUUUUUUGGUCAAUUUUGAAAAUAAAAAACUUUAAUAUUUUUGUUUCAAAAAGGUCAAUUGUUGUGUGUAUAUUUUGCUAGGUAACUACUCUUAAAUGCGGUGGAGUCUGUCUUGGAAUAGCAACUCAUCAUACUUUGACUGAUGGCACAACGGCCUUUCAUUUCAUCAGUAGUUGGUCUGAAAUGGCAAGAGGCUUGCCCCAAAUUAGCAUGCCACCACUUAUUGACCGAACCCUUCUCCGAGCAAGAGUGCCACCAAUCCCUAGAUUUCAUCAUCUCGAAUGUGACCCACCUCCUUCCUUAAACACCUCUACGUCACUUGGCCCUAAUAACCAUAAACCCUCAACUGUAUCUGUUUUCAAGAUCACACAAAAUCAACUUAAUACCCUAAAAGCCAAGUCAUGGGAACAUGGAAACAAAACCAAUUACAGCACCAACACCAUUCUAGCUGCAUACAUAUGGCGCUGUGCAACUAAAGCUCGGGGCCUCUCAUAUGACCAACCAACCAAGUUAGACAUGCCAA